UGUUUUUUGUUUUGUGGUGGGGGUGGGGGGGUUGAUUUCGUGAAUUAUUUGUGGGAAUAUGUAUCGAUGACAUCUCAAACAAAAUUUUGCAUGCAAUGUGUGUGAAAUGGAGGCAUAUCCAUAUCAUACAUAGAGGGUCGGGCAAUCCACAAGAAGAGAGGGAGGGGUCAUAGCUAUCGAUAGAGUCGAAGAGAGGAUCAAGUACGGGUGGGUGCGAGAUCGAUGAAGAGAGCCAUCGAAAUUGCGUGUGUGUGUGUGCAAGUCAAAGAUAUAGGGCGACUGGCCUACCGGAACGUUAGAGGGCACAUGUCAAGUUUGUGUGUGGCAAGGAGACANNNNNNNNNNNNNNNNNNNNNNNNNNNNNNNNNNNNNNNNNNNNNNNNNNNNNNNNNNNNNNNNNNNNNNNNNNNNNNNNNNNNNNNNNNNNNNNNNNNNNNNNNNNNNNNNNNNNNNNNNNNNNNNNNNNNNNNNNNNNNNNNNNNNNNNNNNNNNNNNNNNNNNNNNNNNNNNNNNNNNNNNNNNNNNNNNNNNNNNNNNNNNNNNNNNNNNNNNNNNNNNNNNNNNNNNNNNNNNNNNNNNNNNNNNNNNNNNNNNNNNNNNNNNNNNNNNNNNNNNNNNNNNNNNNNNNNNNNNNNNNNNNNNNNNNNNNNNNNNNNNNNNNNNNNNNNNNNNNNNNNNNNNNNNNNNNNNNNNNNNNNNNNNNGGUGUGUGUGUGGGGGGGGAGGGGGUGGGGGGAGGGGUAGGCAGAGGCCUAACUAUAGAGGUAGAACGACUCGUAUAUGUGUUGAGAAGGAGGGACCCAGCUAUGUCAUGAGGGAGAUCGGUUGACAUCCAUACAUAACUGAAGGACGGGAAAUAUGAUGGGAUAGAGAGAGAGAGGAGAGAGAGAGGAGAGAGAGAGGAAGGGAGAGGGAGGGAGAGGGGUAUAGUGCUGGAUGGGUGAUGGAGUUGCUUCUCGGAGAUGUUGGGAGAGGCCUACUAGACAAACUGAGGGUGGAACUACAAUGUUAUCAAUAAGAGUGGGGAUGUGUUUCUGUGUGUGCCUAUGCAUGAUAGAUCUGUCAGGGCACAUCCAUGGAUGAUGAAGGGGGACCAUGUGUUUGGUAAGCAAACCUAACUAGAUUAGUAGAUCAAUUGUUGUUUGUCGGAGGAAGGGAGAGACACAACUAAUGAGGUAGAUCGAUCGAUGUGUGGGUAAAAACGAGUUAUAAGGACCUAGCUGGCUAUAUGUAUAGCGAGAGAUCGGUUGGUGUACGUCCAUUUGUUAGAGGCAAAUAAGGCCCAGCGAGACGGAUAGACAGAGAGAAUGGAGCUAGGAGGUGGUGCGAGAGGCCCAACUACUAGCUGGAUAGGGGGAGGAGUGUGCGGUUGUGAGAUCGAUUAAAAGAGGGGUGAGAGUUUACACGUGUGUCUGACCAUAUGAGAGACACGAGGCAAGGACACAUAAAGGAGAUUGAAGCUGUGUGUGUAUGCUGUAGGCAGGCAUCGCUGGAGAGGUUUAUCGAUCAGUGUGUGUCGGAAAGGAGUUGUGGAGACUCUGGGAGAACAACCUAAAGGAAAAAAAUGAAUGUGCCCGGUGGAUAGAAUGUCGAGGGAGGGGGAGGGCGAGGAGGGCGUGUGCAUGCACGAGAGAAAGUUAGUGGUAGCUACAAAGGUUAGAGGACUGUGUGGGUGUAAGAGACUAACAAAGAUCAUAAUUUGAUAUGAAAGCGUAUUCAUAUAUUUGAAUAGGAGAUCAUACUGUUUUAAACAUUUCAUGCAUGAAUAUAGUGGUGAUACACGUGCUGUGCACAUGUUAUACCAUAAUGUGAUAAUGCAUGGCGUUUGCAACUCACAGCUAAAUGCCGAACAAUCUAAACCAUACUACACAUCAAACAAUCUCACAUUUUAUUUGAAUUUGUGAUAAUGUGCGGCAUUUACAACUUACAACUAAAUAUCGAGCAAUCUAAACAAUACUAUAUAUCGAACAUUCUCACAUUUUAUUUGAAUUUCUGGUAAUGUGUGGUGUUUGCAACUCACAUCUAAAUACUUGUAGGCGUAGGGGGCGGGGCACCAUACAUAAUGUGAUAAACACAUUAUACAUAUGAGACAUGGUUUAGAUUAUGAAGAUCUAGCUAGAGCUAGAAAUGUAAUGUGUUUUGAAAUCAAAAUAAAGUGGAUUUAAAAAAUCUAGUUCGAGUUCAUAUAGUACACAUAGUUCAUAUGUAACUCGAUACUAAUCAUGUGGUGUGCUGUGAAGAUAAUACACAAACGAUGGUUUAACUUGACAAUAAUGAUGAUUGUAGAUCUUAUUAGAACAGAGAAACGAAUUCAAAUGCUUUGACUUCACAACAAUCAUUACUGUAGAUCUUAUUCAAAUUUAGUUCAUAUUGAAGCGCUAGUAUAUACGUUUGGAAUGCACUAAAAUGUUCAUUUGAGUAGUAGGUUGCAUGCAUAAUACACGUAGCGAAAUAUUUUAAUUGAACAUAACAUGAAUUCAAAGUUUUGAAUGACAUUUGUAGUGCGCAUUGAUUUGGUACAGUACACGUUAGGAUUGUCCAGAAAUUUUAACCUACGCCUUGUUAUCCCGAAAUAUUUAAGAUAUAUCUUUGUCUCGUUGUGCUCCGACAACUCCCUCCAUCUCAACCCGCUCCUUGCUAUUCCGAAAUUACAGCGCGCGCGAAAACUCCCACCUCCUGUGAAAUCCCGACACGUGAAAUGCCCGUGGUACCCCUGAACCGAAAGAACCGCCUCAAAUCGGUGGGGGGUACUUUCGUAACUUACCCCACAUUUCGGACAAGCGUGUCUCUAAGCCAUGGUUCCCCACUGCCAUCCCAUCCGCCCACCCAUUUGUACACCAAGGCCGCGAAAACCCGCGACGAAACCCCACACCCUGCUCCGUCCGCCACCCAGCCGGAGGUUCUUCCGCGACGACGUCGUCCACAGCAAUACCUCGACGUCCCUCAUCCACCGUACCAGAUGAGGAUCCGUCGUCGAUCUCAUCAUCCCGCCGGUUCAGCCACCCCGUCCUCCACCUCCAAGGAGCUGCCCCGAUGUUCCCCUCGUCUUUCACGCCACCUCCAUUCCCACACCGCCGUCUUCACCUGCACCACUGGAAGAGCAUCGUCAUCACCGUUUCCUCGGAUGAAGCUGCGGCCUAAUUGGUGCCACCAAAGAGGUUGUACACUAAUCGCCAAAUUUUCUUCUUGAUUCGAUCUCAUGGUGCUGCCGGCGCUCGGUCCCGAGCCGACACGGCGUGGCUCCAUCCACGGCAGCGUCACCGGCCACUUCCUCCACGGUGUCGCUCCCUCGGCGGCGACGUCCACAUCAGUAGGAGCUGCUGCUGCUUUAGCUCUUGCUCGCGCUGCUGCUCUGCUCUUGAUCUCAGUCCCCUGCCUAGUCUGCUCUUGCUAUUGCUCUUGCUCGCACUGCUGCUCUCGCUCUUGCUCUUGCUUGCGAUGCUGCUCUGAUUUGGCUACACUUCAGUCGACUCAAUCGACUUUUGGGUCAGUCGAUUUCCAAGGGGUGGGCUCGCCGGGGUGAAGGAAGAACCAGCCGUAGCGGGAAGGGGGGCUCGCCGGAGAGGUACCCCACUAUCUAUCUUAGGGUUCAGGAUGGGGGCGGUGGNNNNNNNNNNNNNNNNNNNNNNNNNNNNNNNNNNNNNNNNNNNNNNNNNNNNNNNNNNNNNNNNNNNNNNNNNNNNNNNNNNNNNNNNNNNNNNNNNNNNNNNNNNNNNNNNNNNNNNNNNNNNNNNNNNNNNNNNNNNNNNNNNNNNNNNNNNNNNNNNNNNNNNNNNNNNNNNNNNNNNNNNNNNNNNNNNNNNNNNNNNNNNNNNNNNNNNNNNNNNNNNNNNNNNNNNNNNNNNNNNNNNNNNNNNNNNNNNNNNNNNNNNNNNNNNNNNNNNNNNNNNNNNNNNNNNNNNNNNNNNNNNNNNNNNNNNNNNNNNNNNNNNNNNNNNNNNNNNNNNNNNNNGGGGCGGCGGUGGGGAGUGUUUUCGGGGCGAUGGGGGCGGCGGGGGGCUGCUGUUUGGCCGGUGGUGGCUGGCGGCUCAGGGGGGUGGAGGUUGAAGAUGAACCACAGGCCCUUGAUUUCGUAUCCAACGGCUGCAAAAUCGACUGACCAGAGAUGAAAAAGUCAGUCGACCGAUGUGUAGCCUCACCUUGCUAGUGCGUUCAGUUUCGACAACAAAAUUCAGUUUCGACAGCAAAAUUCAGUUUGGACAGUUAGGUUCAGUUUCGACAGUUAAGUUUAGUUUCGACAGUUAAGUUCAGAGAUGAGCGGCUGAUGUAAUUUACAUCUAGCACUUUGUGGUUAUGUAUUUUACAUCAUGUAUUGGAGAUGCUAUUAUAAUUCCACUCAGGUUAACGUUGUUCGUUGUCUCUCUUGUCCUGCUUCAGCCUCGGUGUCGUACAACUCACAGGAGCUGCUCCAACGAUGAAACCCUCCAUCACAGCGGAGCAGUACCUCGGGCUCCAUCUCCAGACGCCUAAGAUCUUCUUCCCCUCCUCCGACAGCAAAGUCAGCCGGAGCAUCCUCACCGGCCAACCCAAUCACGCUGAGAUCGACAUGGCUUCGCCAAAGAGGUUGUACACUUGUUGCAUCUCUUUUUUACUCUACAUGUUAUAUAUAUUGUCCACUGAGCACACAGAUUUGUUCCUUUAGUGUCUCCUUGAAAGAAAAAACGUAGAAAUUUUAAUUUUCACUUGUCCUCCUUUUCAAAUUCCUAUUCAUGAAGCACAAGACUAAGAGAUAGUAGCAUAAUAACAUUAUAACCGUACAUUUUCUUGUGGUUUGACUUAAUCUCACCAUGCUUCUUUGCAUCCUGUGAUCUUCCAAUUGUUGUGAAUCAAACACCCAGAUUGGCAGAAAUCCUGUGUUUUUAAAUUCUCUGUUUUGCACGUGCAGUCCUAUCCUAUUCUUGUCUAUUUCCUAUCCCUGCAUUGUUGGAAUCCUCCAAUUCAAACGAGCCCUUACAGAAUUACUUCUCUUACAGAUAGUUGUGAAAGAAAACCUUGCGUGGUUUGUCCCGGUCCUGCUGCGCCGUCGUCCACCCCAGCUCCGCUGCUCCAACGAUAGAAGGGUCCAGCAAAGUAGGGAUCCGGCCUCCAGACUGUCUUUCGCCACCUUAGAUCUUCUUCCCCGCUGCUGGCACCCAUGAAAACUGCAUUACCAUCAUCAACCGAGCAGAUGACCUCGAGGACUACACGGGUCCGCAAGAGAGGUCGCACUCUUUCGUGUCUGCUUACGUUAUGCAUCGCUUAAUAUUACAUGCUACCUUAUCGUCCUGUUCACCGAUUAGACUCUAAGUCAGCUCCAAACUAAUGGUCAAACUUGAGUUUCUAAAUGGUUGUGGGGUACAUAUCGGGGCCGCUAUCAAUAGUAUCUAUCUACUAUCUGGUUAAUCUCCGGUGUCUACUAUGAGUUUCAUGUUGGGUGGGAAACAAACAGUAAAGAAGCCAUUAUCUGUAUUUAUUAACUGAAGCCAUUAUCUGCGUGCUAUUAUUGGUUUUGGGUCUAUCCACAGGUUGCUACCAUCACUCUGGAUUUGUGCAUGCACUCCUUACAUAAUCUCACUAUGUUUUAUUCCUAUGCAUGACAGUUAUUGCAAACAAUGGAACUGAACAUGUAGAGCAAAAGAGACAAGCAUUGUGUGGCAAUAUAAUUUCAUGCAGACGUCGCUCCAUGGUACGCGCAAAGGCAGCCCCCCUCCACGCAUUUCGGAUUGUAAUCGAGAGGAAGAUAUCUGUUCUGAGGGGGAUUCAGAAGGAGAAUAUAACUCCUAUUUACCCCCUGAGGUCUUCGCUCUAACUUGGCAUGUUGAUGUUGGUUAUAUCAUGCAUAUGGUGUCUUGCAUUGCUUACUUUAUACAUCAAAUAUGUCAUCUGCUUAGUUUAGACAUCCUUUGUGCGAAUGCCAUCUGUUUAGUUUAUUCAUCGUUUAUGUGAAUUAUGCAACGCCACCUUGUUUAGCUAGGCAUCAUAUAUGUGAAUUUUGCAAUGCCAUCCCGCUUAGCCAGUCAUCUUAUAUGUAAAUUAUAUCAGGCCAUCUUUUUUUUCGUUACAUAUUACAUUCAUCAACAAUGCUAGUACAUUCAACUACUCUUCGUGUGCAUCAGCCAUUUGACACGGUGAUGGCAAAUUCUGGAGUGAAAACAAGGUCUUCUGAGCAGACUAUGCUAUCUGACGAAGCGCAUAUGUCGCUGGUUACGAAUAGCUCCUCAGAGGAGGAUUCAGAGACAGAUGACCAGUCCUAUCCCCCCCCCCCGAGGUGUAUGCUCUAACUUGGCAGGGUUAUGUUGCUCAUAUCGUGUGUAUGGUGUCUCGCAUUGCUAUGCCAUUUGAUUAGUUUAGACAUGCUUUGUGUGAAUGCCACCUGUUCAGUGUCUAAUUACCAUAUAUGUGAAUUAUGCAUUGCCAUCUUGUUGCAAGACAUUAUAUAUGUGAAUUAUACAAUGCUAUCUUGUUGCAAAGGCAUUAUAUAUGUGAAUUAUGCAAUGCCAUGCUGUUUAGCCAAUCAUCAUGUAUGUGAAUUAUAUCAUGCUAUCAUUUUUUUGUAUUACAUGUUCCAUUUGUCGACAACGUUUGUAUAUUCAACUACUCUUCCUGUGCAUCAGCCAUUUGAAGCGGGGAUGGAAGUAUCUGGAGUGAAAACAAGGUAUUCAGAGCAGACAAUGCUACCUGCUAAAGCAGACAUCUUGCUGGCUACAGAGAGCUCCUCAGAGGAGGAUUCAAAGACUGAUGACCAGUCCUAUUUCCCCCCUGAGGUCUAUGCUCAAACUUGGCAGGGUUAUAUUACCCAUGUCAUGCAUGUUGUCUUGCAUUGCUUAGUUUUUACAUCAUAUAUAGAUUGCCAUCUGCUUACUUGCUUACUAUAUAAAUCAUAUAUUUGAAUUAUAUCAUGCCAUCAUGUUUACAUAGUACAUACACAUCACCUAUCUGAAUUAUGGCAUGGCAACCCAUUUAAUAAAGACAUCAUAUAGUUAUAUCAUCUCAUCCUGUUUAGUGUUUACAGUCAUCAUAUUUAGAAUUAUGGCAUUCUAUCCAUGAAUGUAUGUGAAUUAUGACAUGCCAACCUAUUUAAUAAACACAUUAUAUAGUUAUGUAAUGUCAUCCUGUUUACAUAAUCUCAUAUUUUGAACUAUGUCUUUCCAUCUUUUUUAGUUAGCCAUCAUAAUGUGAAAUUGUGUCAUGCUAUCAUGUUUAGUUACCCAUCAUAUAUGUGAAAUUAUGUCAUGCUAUCCUGUUUGGUUAGACAACAUAAAUAUGAAUUAUUUCAUGCCCUCUUUUAUUCCCCACUAUCCAUUGCACAUGUCUAUCAUACAAUGUGUAUACUUUCAAUUACUUUUCUUGUUUAUCAGCCAUUUGAAUUGGAGAGCAUGAUGGCAGUAUCUAAGCGAGUAACAACACGGUCUUCAGAAAAGAUAGUGCUACCAGUUAAUGCAGAUAGAACCAUGGUUGUACUUGCCCAAGGACUAGAUCCACCACACAUAACCCAGACUCUCGCAGAUUGUACCCCUACCCAGUUGGACAGAGAACUAGCUACACCUCUUUUAACCCCAACCCCAGCAGAUAGUAACCCAGUUCCAGUUGACACAGCACCGUCUCCACCACAGAGCACCCAAACACGAGCGGCUAGUAAGGGAACUGCAGUGCCCAAAGUACGAGGACCACCACUCCGAAUCCCAACUCAACGCUUAAAGGAGAAGAAGAUUUGUUCUCAGGUCAGGUUCUGUAGCUAUGGUUCAUACUCCUUUGCUCUUGCAUUACUGUAUUUACUCAUACCAACUAUUUUCAAUUUUGAAGGAUGGAAUUGAAACUCCAAUGGCGCAACAGGUAUGUUUUAAACCUGUUUCUUUAACUGGUUUGCUGUUGUAACCUGCUCUACUUGAUUUCAGUUUCAAUUGAAUAAACAGUUAUGUUCUCAUGUCAUGCACAUUACAAGUGUUGUUAUUGCUCUAUAGUUACCCACACUUAUAUUCUGUCUAUUCUUCUUUGUCUUGAACAAAUAUUAUUUGAACUGUGUCUCUAUCUUGAUUUGGCAACAAAAACUAGAAUGAUAUAGACCAUAAAGUGACCAUGGCACAUAGAUAUAUGUUUGUUUCAUGCUGUUAUCCUGUCCACUUUACUACUGAACUCAUUUACCAAAAUGAGUUUCAUAUACAACAUGGUAAACAUGUGAUGUGUCUGCUUGUUUCUCUCUUAGAAUGCGGACAAAAUAUUGGAGAACAGUACUGCGCUAUCCAGUGGUAAAGGAAGUAAUGCAGAUAAGGUUCAAGAUAGUGAGACAUCCCUGUUGGUCUCCAAGAAAGCUGAUAAAAACUAUCUUGACAGCAGUGAGGGAACCCAAAAGUCCUGUCUUGAUGUAGUGUUCGAGUUACUGGCCACUACUGCUGGCACAAGAUCUUCGAACUCGCUGCCUAAAUCAGUUCGUCUUCUUGAGUCUCAACUUCAAGUUGAAAGACAUCGAUCAGAUGUGCUGCGACAGGAAGCUGAAGGACUGAGGAAGUCCCUGCAGAAUUCAGAUGCAUAUUUUCUGGUGCAACAACAAGCGCUGGAGGAUUUAAGCGCCAAACAAGAGAAAGUUAAUAAGCUUGCUAAGCAUCUUGCCAGCAUUAUGGGUACCCAGGAUAUUGUUUCUUGAGAUCUUUUGAAGUGGUUUCAGUUCUGGAUUUGUUUUGCUGCGGCGUUUAUUUGCGCUGGUCGCCAACUUUGACAACCAGUGUAUAUGAUAUGCUGCUUUGUUCCCUAUAUUUGCACUGGUGGCGAACUUUGAUGCCUAGUGGAUGUAAUAUGUGUAACAACCGUGAUAGCCUAGCAUAAGUUGCUUGCUUAUUUUUUUCCUUGUUGUGUUGUUUAUUUGUUUGCUUGUAGCCAGUGCAGUUCUUUUUAAAACUAGGCCACAAUAACCAUGGGCUAAUAUUUACUGUAGUGACAUUGGGCCUCCUACGGGCCGUAGAAAUAGUGGGCCUUCUACGGGCCAUAGAAACAGUAGGCCUUCUACGGGCCGUAGAAACAAUGGGACUUCUACGGGCCGUAGAAAUAAUGGGCCUUAUACGGGCCGUAGAAACAAUGGGCCUUCUACGGGCCGUACAAACAAUGGGCCUUCUACGGGUCGUAUCAUCAAUGGGCCUUAUACGGGCCAUAUGACCAUAACGGGCCAUCGUUAAUAGGCCGUAUUUGAUGACGCUAUGGAAACGGCCCAACGUAUUAACGGACCACAAACGGGCCGAUGUAACCACGGGCUGAAUUUGGCCCACAAGCAGGAAAUGACAGUAACGGGCCGUAAGUAAACGAAUGCUGGAAAUGAGCCCAAGAAUAAAUGGGCUCUGAGAAGGCCGAAAGAUAACAUUUGCUGGAAACGGCCCAACUGAAUAAUGGGCCCUUAAUGGGUAUAAAGUGAUAUACUGUUCAUUACGGGCCAGUUUCACCAUGGACCGUUAGUGGGUGUAAAGUGAUACACUAUUCAUUGUGGGCCAGUUUCACCACGGGCCGUUAAUAGGCCAAGAGUUACAUAGGGCCUCAUAUGGGCCGAAAGACGUCAUGGGACAUACAUGGGCCAGAAGUGAAAACGGGCUAGAAUCAUAUUGGAUGGCCCAGAUGACGCUACUGGGCCUAAUUUGGAUAGGGUGUAACGGGCCUUGGGUUAGCGGGCUGUAAAUGGGCUAUAUGCGAACAUGCCGUUAACAGGCUUUCCAUGGGCUGGCCCGCCACCUUUUGACCAAGUCAAACGGGCCGACCUUUUCACAGGAAUGGGCCUCUGUUGGGCCGUGCCACGUGUCGAUGUAUCAUAGGCGCCUUCUGUCCAAUGAGUGGAUGACAUCUGUCCCAACGGUUAGCCGACACGUGUUUCCUCCAGCCAAUGAUGAUUUUACACAUGGAAAAUACCCAUUGGCUGGGCUGUUAACGGGUUAUCGGAUCCAAAACCCGACCCGAUAGCUUAACGGUGUUCCGUUACGAUGGAUGCCAUGUGUCGGUCACCCUUGACGAAAGCAGUUCUGUGACGCGCGAUUUAUCGUCAUGGAAGUGGACACUUCCAUGAUGAUAAUUUUGGUAAUGUCAUCGAACACUUCUACGACAGCACAGGUAUGACUAUCUUGAUUCUGUCAUAAAUUUUUCAUAGAUGUACAUGUAUGACAAAAAACGCAACCUACUGUGACAAACACGUAUCAUCAUGGAAGUGUAUUUUUUUGUAGUGCAUGGCCAGAGGUCACCGGCGACUAACCCCGACGUGCUGACGUGUCCGGCUCAAUUAGCCAUUAACGACAAUGUUUAGUUUAAACACUAGACACUGACAAGUAGGCCUAGGCGCUCUAAUGAGCUUAGUUAAAAUUAAUUAAACCCCUGUUUAACUUUAACUUAACCAUAGUGGCCCCACGCGUCAGCUCUGACCCUGCUGACAUGGCCGUUGACCGGGCCCACCUAUCAGCGAGACUAACGAGCCCUAUGUCACUGACGUGUGGUCCCCACUGGUCAGGUUUGACCUGGACCAUGCCCUGUUGACUCGUUGAUGUCACAGUGACGUAGUGCUGACGCAUGCUGACGCAGUAAUGCAAUUGUCUGGAUUUAUUCUUAUUCAGGAAAUUCCAGAAAAUGCCCAAAACUUCUAAAAUUCAUAGAAAUUCAACCAUAACUCCAAAUGAAAUAAUUUAUAUAUGAAAAAUGAUCAGAAAAAUCCAAUCUAUCCAUAUGUACCAUUUUCAUGCAUGUUUGAAUAACUUACAGCACUGUUUAUGACAAUUUGAAUAAAUGGCAUUUUAAAUGUCCCAUGUGGAGUUUGAAUUUGAACCUAGGGUUCAAACCAACUCCAUUUAACCUGUUGCUAGUUGCAUUAGCUUAAAACAUAGCAUAUUUACAUGUCAUGAUCAUGCAUCAUAUUGUUGCAUUGCAUUGAUUGUGUCCCUUCUCUAUUGCCGGUAAUUGUCCCCUCUCGGUAGACGUGGUUCUGACGAUGAUUUCGAUGACACCGAUGAAGAGCUAUACUAUCUUUAGAAGUGCCAGACAAGCAAAACCCCCUUGUUCAUUCCGAUACAAUCCCACUAUCUCGCUCCUGCUCUCUUUUACUGCAUGAGGACAACAACGUUUCAACUGUUACGUGCUGCGGUAGUUGAACCCCUUUCCUCUGCAUGACCUGUCAUUGCCACAGUAAAUAGAUGAAACCCACUAGCAUGAGUAGGAGUUGUUUGAGCCCUGAUGUGCCUACUCAUUCAUGCUUGUUUGUCAUGCCUGCUAUUGCUUAGAGUUGUGUCAGGUCUGAUUCAUCGGGGAUGAAUUGGAAAGUUGUGAACAUGUCCUACUGUUGAGAGCUAAGUGUGUGAACACGAUUUGGUAAAGGUAGCGGUGAGAGGCCAUGUAGGAGUACAUGGUGGGUUGUCUCAUUGAAACCGUCCUCAGGAACUGAGUUCUGUGUUUGUGAUCCAUGAACAGUUACUACCACACAUUGGGCUCCGGGCACUCCAAGCUCUCUCGACUUAUUAAUCAACUCGAUCUCUGUCGAGGAGUUGCAACUAGUUUCUGGUGUUUGUAGGUAGUGUUAGUAGUCUACCAAGUGGCACCCGGUACAGGUGGGCUUGGGACAGACUAGGUGCAGUGGCACAGUGUACCAAGUGGCACCCGGAUGGUGGGCUUGGGAACCCUGCUCACAUUGUUUGGGGCCGUGAGCGACACCCCGGGCGGAUCUCCUUGCGGAUGGAACCCUAAUAGGUGAUAAACCUGGACGAGAGACUUGUGUGGUUAGUCAGGUCAUGGCCGACUCCCUCGCCAGGCUUCCGCUUGAAGGUUGCCGAGAUACACGAUGUGUACAUGGUGGUAAGUGGCGAGAGCGUGUGUGAAGAAGUACACCCCUGCAGGGUUAACAUCAUCUAUUCGAAUAGUCGUGUCUGCGGUAAAGGACUUCUGGGUUGCGUGUACAGUUCAUAGAUAACUUGAAGUGGAUACUCUAAAAUGCGCAAGAUAAGCGUGAGUGCUAUGGAUGGCGUUCUCGUAGGUAGACGAGAGCGGGUCCAUAGUGGUGUAUUGAUUGGUGAAUACGUGGACUCGUGUGUGCCACCUCAAAAGAGUUACAUUGCAGUCGUAGUUCAGGAUAGCCACUGAGUCAAAGCUGGCUUGCUGCAGUUAAACCCCAUCAUCCCUUUGUUGAUAAUGAGGCAUAUGUAGAUAGCUCUGAUGUAAGUCUUGCUGGGUACAUUUGUACUCUCGUUUGCCUAUUUUAUGUUUUUGCAGAGAGACUUUAGUCUCAUUAGUAGUUCCGCGUGGACUUCGACAUUUAGCUUGUUACAUCAGCUACGAUCUUGUGCCCUCGACAGGAUCUGGUAGAUAGUCAGGCUUCUCAGCCUUUUUCAUUUAUAGUUGUCUAUACUCAGACAUGUUAAGCUUCCGCGUGUGCUUUGACUUGUAUGCUCUGAAUGUCGGGUCAUGAGACCCAUGUUUGUAAUAUCUCGCUCCUCGGAGCCUAUUGAAUAAAAUACUUGAGUCGUAGAGUCAUGUUGUGAUGCCAUGUUGUAUCUGCACAUGUCGAGCAUAUUGUGUGUAUGUUAUUGAAAUGCUUGGUAUGUGUGGGAUCUGACAACCUAGUUGUUUAUUCUUGGUAGCGUCUCUUACCGGGAAAUGUCUCCUAGUGCUUCCACUGAGCCAUGUAGCUUGCUACUGCUCCGGAACACUUAGGCUGGCCGGCAUCUGUCCUUCUUCGUUCCUGUGUCUGUCCCUUCGGGGAAGUGUCACGCGGUGUCUACCGGAGUCCUGUUAGCCUGCUACAGCCCAGAUUCUUUGGAGUCCUGCUAGCCUAGCUGCUACAGCCCGGAUUCACUCGCUGUUGACCGACACGUUCGUUGUUGGGUCAUGUAUGACUGUCCCUGUAAGUUAGCGCCACUUUGGGUUCACGACUAGUCAUGUCAGUCCGGGUUCUUUGUCAUAUGGAUGCUAGCGACACUAUCAUAUACGUGAGCCAAAAGGUGCAAACGGUCCCGGGCCUGGUAAGGCGACACCCGUGGGAAUACCAUGCGUGAGGCCGCAAAGUGAUAUGAGGUGUUACAUGCUAGAUAGGUGUGGCAUUGGAUCGGAGUCCUGACAGCUUUGGUAUCAGAGCUUGACUGCCUGUAGGAUUACCAAGCCAAACUGGUCAAAGUUGAGUCUAGAAAUUCUUAGUUAUAUAAGGGAAUUGAUUGUGGGAUGGAACAUAAGGCUCUUUUUACUCCUUUACCUUAUGCCCUUCUGAUCUGAGUCAACCUCUUCUCUUCUACGGGGAUUAAGAACUAGGCUUUCUCUUCUUUCUAUCGGGAUCACGUGUUACUAAUCCGUAGAACUAUAGGAUUUAUGGUUCUAAGCUUGAGUUCAGUUCCUACUAUCUUCUGUAUGUUCAUAGUUGAUCUCAGAACCUUGAUAUUAUGAUGAUCGAGUGGUUAUGCCACCAUUUUUGUAGCAUGUCUCAAAUCGUUUUGAUCAUUUACAGCCGUUAUGCUGUCCAAGUCAUCUCAGGUCUCUAAACAGUCCGAUGCAUUUGCAAAUCCCUUCUUCCCGUUCCCGAUGUCCUCUCUGGCCAGGUUAACCACACUAAACGGUGAGUUGAGGUACUCUAUUGCCUCGACGUAUAUGUUGGAGCUAUUAUUAUGACCCUAGAUGUCUAGAGUAUCACCUAGUGAUCUAGCCAUGUUCCGUGUUUCUAGUGUGAUGACUCUGGCCAUCAUUACCAAAAGCAUCCCGUGAUGCCACUUAGUUAGUAGGCAUUCCACUCCUGGGUCUCUGAACCCGAGAUUCACCCUACUUACUUUAUGUUGAUAAUGUUGCUAGUCCCUCUAGGAUAUUAGUAACCUUUGCAUUAGUCCUCGAGGUCCGUGGUAUUUCCUUCUUCCAAAUACUAUGAACCACUUAUGGCAGAAGUUUUCGGAUCAAAAGAUCACAACAGGAGUGCUCUCGAUGAGUUCUCCAUUCUAUAGUGUAACUCUGCCAGUUCAACCUUUCUGCAUGGGUUAUCCGGAAGAAAUAUGUUGAACUCGUUCGACAUGCUAAUCCAUGCAUCCACAACUAAGAAAGAUAUAUGUUCCUUUGAGUUGUCCCUCUUUAGUUGUCUUCUGACCUUCGUCUAUCAAUUGAUAGUCAGGAGUAGUGGUGCAAUCGUGUUUAUCGAUGCCUAUUACUCUUGUGGUCCGUCAAGCCAUUCUAUUCCGGAAUGACUAGGAGAAACAAACCCCAGUACCUUAUCCAUUUCCAGGAUUGGGUGAAAGCAAUUGCAUUCCGCAUAUCAAAAUGCCAAUCCAGCUUUUGUUCUGUUCUACCUUGGAGUAUUACCAUCUCUAUAUCAAGAAUAUCAUGGGAAUUGCACACCAUCCUAUGGACUCUUGAUACAGUGAUACUUCUCUCCAUCUUUAUUCAUUCCUCGGUCCCCGUGUUAUUGCAACCGGAAUGCCGACAAGUGAAAUGUGAUGUGUGAUAUCAAUUCUCCUAGCAAACUCCGUUGCUUGGCAGUUAAUGGACAAUAACUUCAUUCUUAGCGUGUUGGUUAUUGAAUCACCAUUCUAAGAUUGAUCGUGCUACCUUGUCCUUAUUUCCGGUGCACUUUUCGAUCAAUGAUUUAGGAUAGUGACAAUCCUUGCUUAUUUGAUCAUAUCGUCUUGCCCUGAAAAGCAAGAUUGUUCUCGAACUUAGUAACAUACCGGUGGUUCGUGAUUUUCCGAAUAUCUUCUCGGAAGUAUCAUCGGGUCGUCACCUGACCGCUAUGUUGAGUUUAUGAUCAAGUUGGUUUCUUGUAACCACCCCUUCUCCAAGAAUCUAUGUCGGAUACCCCGAGCUAGUUGGUUAAGCUAAACAACAACUUGGAGAGUUGGAAGAUGAAAGCUUUGCCGAAUCUAGUUCAUUCUGAAGGGAUAUCUUGCAUUGUGUGUGUGUGUUCAAGAAAGAUGAUAUCCUCAUCGAUUGGUCCCUAUGAUCAGUUAUUAGACCUAUUAUCUUAUCAAAACUUUGAUUUGAGUGUGGGCUAUUAUCAGAUCAAAUCAGAGCCAACGAUGUUCAUAAUGUUGUCUUACUCGUGGUUGAUCCCUCGGGCAUACACCAUUACAUCCUUUAGUCUGACCGAUGCUAUCACCGUGUCCACCUAAUUGUGGAAUCCCGUCUAUAUGGAAACCUGGAUGAAUUGUUGUUGAGCCCAUCAACAACAUCCUUAUCUCCUCCAUGAUUUUGUUGAACAUUAAGCUAGUGUUGGAAACUUGUGUAAGCAUUUUCUUCAUGCCCGUUCAUGAAGUAUAUGUUUGGAUGAAAGAAGUGACUUCCUUUAAUUCACGUGCAUUUGAUGUAAGUUGUCGCCGUGAAUUCGAGAAAGUUUGUUUUUGCUCCUCUGGAAUCAUCCCAAGUCAGUCAUGCAUGUGGGAAGUAUUCUAUGGUCUGAUAGACUGAUCAUCUUCAUUCCAUAUGUAUCCCCUAGCACACGAAGCUAUUGAUUGAUUUUUUCAAGGAAAGGAAGUUCCUUCUUAAGAGCAUGCCUUAUGCAAGGACUUCAAUAUCCUCGAUUAUGGUUCCCCACCUGAACUCGGUAGUGUUUUAUUAUAAGACUGCCACGUGGUGAUGCUUGUCUAGGACAGUGUGUUCAUAGGUGUGUAGCAAAACUUGCUCAUGUUGUGGAGCUUGCUAUCGUAGUUCAUCUCCCGAGAGUCUCACAAUGUUAUCUCGUCGACUUGUGUUGCAACUCUUCUUUUCAGACAUGUGAGUCUGAAGUAUCCUGUUUCUAACUAGAUCUGAAUCUCAGGCAGAUAUGAUGUUUGGAACAUUCCAACAUUUGCAUUUUGUUCCUAGCUUGCACCGUCUUUGUGCCAUUUCACUGUGGGCUGCCUCCUUAGUUCUCAUUCAGGAUCAUCUUCAAAAGUGGUCCUACCAUGGGUCCCAUCCAUUUCCGAUAAUAAGCAAAAAUCAUCCAUUGUGUUGUCUUCAACAAGGUAGUCCACAUCAUCCAUUCUAGUCUGGGUAUGCCAUUCCUUCGCACUUCGCCAAACGAUCAUUUGUGAUUGCCUUAGCCUGGUAUGGAGAGUUUCAAUGAUCCUUUCCGAUAGAGUAUCUUUCUGACGUCAUUGAGUUGGAUGAAGAUCUCGAAAGAAAAUACGUCAAGAUCAAUAUGAAGCAAUGAAUUGACAUCCUUGAGAAGGACAGUUGGAUCAUGAAGAUCGUGUCAGCUUUGUGUCCCCUAUGUCUUCUUACCUCACGUCUUGAAUCUCGGGACGAGAUUCUUGUUUAGUGGGGGUGAGCUGUCACAUCCCUAGUUCUGUUAUGCUCUGGGCUAGCUAGUCAUGUGUGACAUCAUGUUUAAAUUCUAUUUAAGUUGAAAUGGGGACGUUCAAACCCUAGCAGAUAAUAUUUUCAACUAGGUUCAAGUUUAAAUCUUUUCAAUGAACCCAAAAUGCCCUUUGGAAAAGUUCAUGAUUUUUGAUAAAGGUGAAAACCUUUGGAAAAAAUGAUGCACAUAUUUCCAGGCCAUUUCUGGACUCUUGAAUUAAAUCAUUAUGUAUUUGAAUUUGGGCAUUUAAUUGCUAUUACAAUUUUUAAAUGCUCAAAUAAUUCUGAAACUAAAUGUGGGUUGUUGGAAAUAAUACAACAGGUCCUCACAAUUUAUUUCAGGAUUUUUAUAUGUGGUUUAGUAUUUUUACUAAAUCAAAGAAAACAAAAAGCAAAUAGAAAACAGAAACAAAAAUUAAAAGAAAGACAGAGUUUUACCUGGAGCUUACCUGGCAGCCCAGCUGGCCCAGCACUGUAGCUGAGGCCCAACCCACCAGGGCGAAGCGGUCGUCUUCAACCUCUGCCAGUAGGCAGAGGCGUGUCGACACCAGCGCGCCCGAGGCCUCCACCUCCUCCCUGCCUGCCUGGCCUCCCCGUGCCCGCCCUCUCGUCGAUAGGAGGUGUGCUUGACCCCUUCGUCCAUUCCCCCUCUCUGUGGACCUCCUCCCCCUUCUUUGUUCUCUCUUCCACGGCCGCCCGAACGAGCCCGUGUGCGCCACUGCAAAACACCGCGCCCACCGCCAUCCCCUUGCCCCGUGGUCGUGACCCUGAGCUCCUCCUUGGCCCCAAGAACCUCUAUGCCAACCCACUCAAUCCCGGAUGACCCCAAGACGGUGCUGUGGCUUUUCUUCCCCGUCCACGACCACCGGAUGCCGUCGCCCGAUUCGCCGUCUUCAACGCGCCCCCAAGCUCGCUUCGACGCCCCUGCAACCUCAGUGAGCCACUACGCCAAACCCCUCUCUCCUCGUGUUCGAUUGCCCUCUCUAGCUGUCGCCUCCAUCGAGCUCGAGACCUCACCAUCGUCAGCCAUGGUGCCACCACGGUUGCUAACGCCAUAGCUCGCGUUCGAGCAUGCUGCUGAACUCCUAGAGUUCCCAGGAGCCCAUAGAGCUUUUUAGCCAGCCUCUCUGUGCACCAUAGCGCCGCUCGCGUCAAGCCCGUGGCUCCAGCCGCCGCCCGGGUGCCCACCGUGAUCGACUCUGGGCACCCCGCGACCUGCUGCUGCCUCCGCUGGAUGCGCUCGCGCAUGGGCUACCUCCUGGUGCCUUUCUCCGCCACUCCCGUGGCCUCCCGGUGUGCUUCCGCCGUGGCCAGAGGUCACCGGCGACUAACCCCGGCGUGCUAACGUGUCCGGCUUAAUUAGCCGUUAACCACAAUGUUUAGUUCAAACACUAGACACUGAUAAGUAGGCCCAGACGCUCUAAUGAGCUUAGUUAAAAUUAAUUAAACCCCUGUUUAACUUUAACUUAACCACAGUGGCCCCACACGUCAGCUCUGACCCCGCUGACGUGGCCAUUGACCGGGCCCACCUGUCAGCGAGACUAACGAGCCCUAUGUCACUGACGUGUGGUCCCCACUGGUCAGGUUUGACCUGGACCACACCCUGUUGACUCGCUGACAUCACAGUGACGUAGUGCUGACGCAUGCUGACGCAGUAAUACAAUUUUCUAGAUUUAUUCUUAUUCGGGAAAUUCCAGAAAAUGCCCAAAACUUCUAAAAUUCAUAGAAAUUCAACCAUAACUCCAAAUGAAAUAAUUUAUAUAGGAAAAAUGAUUAAAAAAAUCCAAUCUAUCCAUCUGUACCAUUUUCAUGCAUGUUUGAACAACGUACAACCACUGUUUAUGACAAUUUGAAUAAAUGGCAUUUUAAAUGUCCCAUGUGGAGUUUGAAUUUGAACCUAGGGUUCAAACCAACUCCAUUUAACCUGUUGCUAGUUGCAUUAGCUUAAAACACAGCAUAUUGACAUGUCAUGAUCAUGCAUCAUAUUGUUGCAUUGCAUUGAUUGUGUCCCUUCUCUGUUGCCGGUAAUUGUCCCCUCUCAGUAGACGUGGUUCUGACGAUGAAUUCGAUGACACCGAUGAAGAGCUAUACUAUUUUCAGAAGUGCCAGGCAAGCAAAACCCCCUUGUUCAUUCCGAUACAAUCCCACUCUCUCGCUCCCGCUCUCUUUUACUGCAUUAGGACAACAACGUUUCAACUGUUACGUGCUGCGGUAGUUGAACCCCUUUCCUCUUCAUGACCUGUCAUUGCCACAGUAAAUAGAUGAAACCCACUAGCAUGAGUAGGAGUUGUUUGAGCCCUGAUGUGCCUACUCAUUCAUGCUUGUUUGUCAUGCCUGCUAUUGCUUAGAGUUGUGUCAGAUCUAAUUCAUCAGGGAUGAAUUGAAAAGUUGUGAACAUGUCCUACUGUUGAGAGCUAAGUGUGUGAACAUGAUUUGGUAAAGGUAGCGGUGAGAGGCCAUGUAGGAGUACAUGGUGGGUUGUCUCAUUGAAAUCAUCCUCAGGAAUUGAGUUCUGUGUUUGUGAUCCAUGAACAGUUACUACCACACAUUGGGCUCCGGGCACUCCAAGCUCUCUCGACUUAUUAAUCAACUCAAUCUCUAUCUAGGAGUUGCAACUAGUUUCUGGUGUUUGUAGGUAGUGCUAGUAGUCUACCAAGUGGCACCCGGUAUAGGUGGGCUUGGGACAGACUAGGUGCAGUGGCACGGUGUACCAAGUGGCACCCGGAUGGUGGGCUUGGGAACCCUGCUCACAUCGUUUGGGGCCGUGAGUGACACCCCAGCCGGAUCUCCUUGCGGAUGGAACCUUAAUAGGCGAUAAACCUGGACGAGAGACUUGUGUGGUUAAUCAGGUCGUGGCCGACUCCCUCGCCAGGGUUCCGCUUGAAGGUUGCCGAGAUACACAAUGUGUACAUGGUGGUAAGUGGCGAGAGCGUGUGUGAAGAAGUACACCCCUGCAGGGUUAACAUCAUCUAUUCGAAUAGCCGUGUCCGCGGUAAAGGACUUCUGGGUUGCCUGUACAGUUCAUAGAUAACUUGAAGUGGAUACUCUAAAAUGUGCAAGAUAAGCGCGAGUGCUAUGGAUGACAUUCUCGUACGUAGACGGGAGCGGAUCCAUAGUGGUGUAUUGAUUGGUGAAUAUGUGGACUCGUGUGCGCCACCUCAAAAGAGUUACAUUGCAGUCGUAGUUCAGGAUAGCCACCGAGUCAAAGCUGGCUUGCUGCAGUUAAACCCCACCAUCCCUUUGUUGAUAAUGAGGCAUAUGUAGAUAGCUCUGAUGUAAGUCUUGUUGGGUACAUUUGUACUCACGUUUGCCUAUUUUAUGUUUUUGCAGAGAGAAUUCAGUCUCAUUAGUAGUUCUGCGUGGACUUCGAUGUUUAGCUUGUUACGUCAGCUAUGAUCUUGUACCCUCGACAGGAUCUGGUAGAUAGUCAGGCUUCUCAGCCUUUUUCAUUUAUAGUUGUCUAUACUCAGACAUGUUAAGCUUUCGUGUGUGCUUUGACUUGUAUGCUCUGAAUGUUGGGUCAUGAGACCCAUGUUUGUAAUAUCUCGCUCCUUGGAGCCUAUUGAAUAAAAUACUUGAGUCAUAGAGUCAUGUUGUGAUGCCAUGUUGUAUCUGCACAUAUCGGGCAUAUUGUGUGUAUGUUAUUGAAAUGCUUGGUAUGUGUGGGAUCUGACAACUAGUUGUUUAUCCUUGGUAGCCUCUCUUACCGGGAAUGUCUCCUAGUGCUUCCACUGAGCCAUGGUAGCUUGCUACUGCUCCGGAACACUUAGGUUGGCCGACAUGUGUCCUUCUUCGUUCCUGUGUCUGUCCCUUCGGGGAAAUGUCACGCGGUGUCUACCGGAGUCGUGUUAGCCUACUACAGCCCAAAUUCUCUGGAGUCCUGCUAGCCCAGCUGCUAUAGCCCGGAUUCACUCGCUGUCGAUCGACACGUUCGUUGUUGGGUCAUGUAUGCAUGUCCCUGUAAGUUAGCGCCACUUUGGGUUCACGACUAGUCAUGUCAGCCCGGGUUCUUGGUCAUAUGGAUGCUAGCGACACUAUCAUAUACAUGAGCCAAAAGGUGCAAACGGUCCCGGGCCUGGUAAGGCGACACCCAUGGGAAUACCGUGCAUGAGGCCGCAAAGUGAUAUGAGGUGUUACAUGCUAGAUCGGUGUGGCAUUGGAUCGGGGUCCUGACACACGCCCUUGUCCCCCAUGGCCCGCCUAUCGGGGACACUAGCAGUCCCUUCCCUUCCAACGCGUCCACCCCCUCUCCCCGCCCCACCCUGCCGCCGGCGCUGCCACUAUUCUCCGGCCACCUCCUCACUGCGCACCCCCGGCCGUCCAUACCAAACCACGGCUCAACAUGGCCGCCACCACGCCCACGCUUUCAUCGUAGUUUUGGCCGUCGAUUGGAGGAGAUUUUGCUGUCGCCAUCGUAGCUGGUGGUAGUGGGGAUACGACCACCAGCGACGUACCACGACGGCCAUGACAGCUUCCGAUGAAUGCUCCAGAGCGGCCAGUAGCCGGCCGCCAGCCACCCCUGCUGCAUCGAGGUGAUCAUCGCGACCUCUUUGCCACCAUGACUGCAAGGUGUUCAACACUUUGCCACAAAGGUAUGGACAGUGGAGAUGAAUUUUUCUUCCACCACUUCAUUUAUUCAUCGGACAAUUCGUUGUUGGAUGAUGAAGAUCUUGUGGUGGCUGCACUGGUCGUUCAUGACCACAUUGAAAGGCCUCUUCCUCGGUACAAGGGGUCACUCCCUGGCUGUGCUCCCAACCUGAACUGCAGCAGGGAGAGAGGCCACACCCUGCUCUAUGCCGAUUACUUUGCAAACACCCCGCUCUUCAAGCCGGAUAAAUUCCGUCGCCGUUUUUGUAUGGCAAGGCAUGUGUUCAAUCGUAUCAGAGAGGGAGUGGUUGCUCAUGACCCAUACUUCGAGUGCAAGAUAGAUGCCCUUGGCAAGCUUGGAUUCUCCUCUUACUAGAAAUGCACCGCGGCCAUCCGCAUGUUGCAUAUGGAAUUCCAAGAGAUCUUGUGGAUGAGUAUGUGCGUAUGAGUGAGUCCACAUGUUUGCUGUCAUUGUACAAUUUCUGCUAGGCCGCGGUGGAAGUGUUUGGCCCUGAGUACUUGAGGCAGCCAACUGCCGCUGAUAUAGAGAGAUUGUUGGCGACCAACACAGCUAGAGGUUUUCCAGGCAUGCUUGGCAGCAUAGAUUGUGUGCACUAGGAGUGGAAGAACUGCCCAUUUGCUUGGCAGGGCUAGUACAAGGGGCAUGUUAAAGCAUGCACUGUCAUAUUAGAAGCGGUGUUUGUCGUGGUUCUAAGUCUGACAGUAAGUAUAGGGGGUACAAAUGAGGAGGCAAGGUCCUAGGUACGGUGAGAUUGUACGCAAGUGUUUACGAGUUCAGGCCCCUCUCGGAGGAGGUAAAAGCCCUAUGUCUCGAUGCCUUGAGGCGGUCGACUGGAAUAUGGGAGUAUGUGUUACAGGGGCUGCGAACCCUUUUGCCAGAGGAGGGAGUGGCUUAUAUAGAGUGCGCCAAGACCCCAGCCAUCCCCCGUUACCAAGAGUUCAAUGUACAUAAAGAUGGGGCAUUACUGAUAAUGCCAGCCAUAAAGUGCUUUUAAUGAUCUUAAAGACUACGGAGUGAACACCUGGCCGUUGCUAUUCUGGUCGACUCCUGGUUUUCGAUAGGUCGAGUGAUUUCCUGUAUGGUCGAAUGAUAUUAAGAGGGAGGGGUACCCGAGUGAGGUGACUGGUCGAUUGGAUUGCACUCGACGCCUUCAAUUGGUACUCCAUGUUGUGUCUUGGAUGUCCUUGCUUCUAGGGUAGUGACCUUGGGUAGGGCGUAUAGGUCAGGCCUAUGACCCUACCCUAGGUCUAUAUCAUCAUCAUUAGCCCCUGAAUGGAUUGAGGUCUGAGUGAAAAGAAGGUUCAAGUUGAUCUUGCCUCGACUCUUGUGCUUCACAAGUACCCAUGCUGGACUGGAGGCCCAUCUUGGAACUUCGGCUUCAUUUCAGUCGCCUUGAUCGAUUCAGAAGUUGUCGAGUGGAUUUAUACCGUCACUCGUCGAGUGUUAUUUUUGACGCGAAAUCUUUGGCGCGAUUGGUUACGGCGUAUCUCGGAUAUCAUGGGAUUCAAAAUUUCAGGGAAGCACGCGAGGUGGAGUGUGCCGUAGUAAGCGGGAUGGAUAGACAGGAGCGCCUCGAUCCCUGCGCCACCUUUUUCGCCACGUACCCAGUGCACGACUGUUGCGGGAUUUGACAGGAUUGCCUAGGCCCAUGCGUCAGUCACUCAGAAGUGGGUCCUUAAAAGGCGACGGGGUCGAGGCGUCUGCACUAUGCGCGUCCAUUCUCCUUCUUUCUCCUCUGCUUCUCCACCGCAUCCUGCUCCACCGCUCUCGACGCCGCCGCCCCGCCACCAUGGUGAAGGACAAGACGACAACACUGGAACAUGCAGAGAAGGCAACGGGGGCGGCAAAAGGCAAGAAGACGAAUCAGGGGUCGUCAUCACGGUCGGCGCUGCCGCCGGGUUGGAUCCAGGGCGAUUGGAUCCGAUCUUCGCUCCGGAUAUUUACUAAUGAGUUUAAAUUCACCUUUGACUCUAGCCAUAUAAUCACUCAAGCGUCCAAUCAAGUAAGAAUUACUCUUUAAUUCUCUACCAACACAAGCAUUGAAGUUUUCUUGUCUAGCCAUAAAGUCAUCAAAUUCAUCCAAGCAUUGGCUAGCAAACUUAGUAGACGGGAUUUCAACCUUAUCAUAUCUAUAGAGAGAAUUUACCGUUACUACCUGUGUCGGGUUAUCAAGACCAUGUGUUUCUUCAAUAGGUGGUAAAUUAAGACCAUGUAUUUAUUCAACAGGAGGUAAAUUCUUAACAUCUUCAGCUUUAAUACCUUUAUGUUUCAUAGAUUUCUUUGCCUCUUCGAAGUUGGUUUAGGAGUUGGCUCAGGAAUUGGCACAGGAAGUGUCCAAUUAUUUUCAUUAGUCAACAUAUUAUUCAAUAGCAAUUCAGCUCGACCGACUGUUCUUUCCCUGAAAACACAACCAGCACAACUAUCCAAGUGGUCCUUGGAAGCAUCGGUUAGUCCAUUAUAAAAGAUGUCAAGUAUUUCAUUUUUCUUAAGAGGGUGAUCAGGCAAAGCAUUAAGUACUCGGAGAAGCCUCCCCCAAGCUUGUGGGAGACUCUCUUCUUCAAUUUGCACAAAAUUAUAUAUUUCCCUCAAGGUAGCUUGUUUCUUAUGAGCAGGGAAAUAUUCAGCAGAGAAGUAAUAAAUCAUAUCCUGGGGACUACGCACACAACCAGGAUCAAGAGAAUUAAACCAAGUUUUAGCCUCACCCUUUAAUGAGAAUGGAAAUAUCUUAAGGAUAUAAUAGUAGCGAGAUUUCUCAUCAUUAGUGAACAGGGUGGCUAUAUCAUUUAACUUAGUAAGAUGUGCCACAAUAGUUUCAGAUUCAUAGCCAUAAAAAGGAUCAGAUUCAACCAAAGUAAUUAUCUCAGGAUCAACAAAGAAAUCAAAAUCCUUAUCAGUAACAAAGAUAGGUGAAGUAGCAAAAGAAGGGUCAUAUUUCAUUCUAGCAUUCAGAGUUUUCUGUUUCGGUUUAGCUAAUAACUUCUUAAGAUCAGAUCUAUCAUUGCAAGCAAGAAAAUCUCUAGCAGUUUCUUCAUCCAUAACAUAACCCUCAGGAACAACAGGCAAUUCAUACUUAGGGGGAGAACCUUCAUCAUCACUAUCUUCAAUAAUUUCAUUUUCAAUAAUUUCAUUCUCUCUAACCCUAGCAAGUUGUUCAUCAAGAUAUUCACCUAACGGCACAGUAGUAUCAAGCAUAGAAGUAGUUUCAUCAUAAGUAUCAUGCAUAGUAGAAGUGGCAUCAUCAAUAACAUGCGACAUAUCAGAUUUAAUAGCAGAAGCAGGUUUAGGUGUCGCAAGCUUACUCAUAACAGAAGGAGAAUCUAGUGUAGAGCUAGAUGGCAGUUCCUUACCUCCCGUCGUAGUUGAGGGAUAAAUCUUAGUUCUUUCGUCUUUCAAGUUCCUCAUAGUGACCAGCAGAUAUAAAUCCCAACUGACUCAAAGAAUAGAUCUAUGCUCCCAGGCAACGGCGCUAGAAAAUAGUCUUGAUAACCCACAAGUAUAGGGGAUCGCAAUAGUUUUCGAGGGUAGAGUAUUCAACCCAAAUUUAUUGAUUCGACACAAGGGGAGCUAAAGAAUAUUCUCAAGUAUUAGCAGUUGAGUUGUCAAUUCAAACCACACCUGGAUAACUUAGUAUUUGCAGCAAAGUAUUUAGUAGCAAAGUAGUAUGGAAGUAAUGAUAACAGUGGCAAAAGUAACAGUAGCAGUUUUGUAGUAAUUGUAAAAGUGGCACCGGUAAAGUAAAUAAGAAAAGCACAAUAUGUGAAAAGCUCAUAGGCAUUGGAUCAAUGGUGGAUAAUUAUGUUGGAUGCGGUUCAUCAUGUAACAGUUAUAACAUAGGGUGAUAUAGAACUAGCUCCAGUUCAUCAAUGUAAUGUAGGCAUGUAUUCUGAAUAUAGUCAUACGUGCUUAUGGAAAAGAACUUGCAUGACAUUGAUGACCCACAAGUAUAGGGGAUCUAUCGUAGUCCUUUCGAUAAGUAAGAGUGUCGAACCCAACGAGGAGCAGAAGGAAAUGACAAGCAGUUUUUAGUAAGGUUUUCUCUGCAAGCACUGAAAUUGUAGGUAACAGAUAGUUUUGUGAUAAGAUAAAUUGUAACGAGUAACAAGCAAUGAAAGUAAAUAAAGUGCAGCAAGGUGGCCCAAUCCUUUUUGUAGCAAAGGACAAGCCUAGACAAUUUCUUAUAAUGAGAAAAGAGCUCCCAAGGACACAUGGGAAUUAUCGUCAAGCUAGUUUUCAUCACGCUCAUAUGAUUCGCGUUCGGUACUUUGAUAAUUUGGUAUGUGGGUGGACCGGUGCUUGGGUACUGCCCUUACUUGGACAAGCAUCCCACUUAUGAAUAACCCCUAUUGGAAGCAUCCGCAACUACAAAAGAAGUAUUAAGGUAAACCUAACCAUAGCAUGAAACAAGUGGAUCCAAAUCAGCCCCUUAUGAAGCAACUUAUAAACUAGGGUUUAAGCUUCUGUCACUCUAGCAACCCAUCAUCUACUUAUUACUUCCCAAUGCCUUCCUCUAGGCCCAAAUAAUGGUGAAGUGUCAUGUAGUCGACGUUCACAUAACACCACUACAGGAAAGACAAUAUACAUCUCAUCAAAAUAUUGAACGAAUACCAAAUUCACAUGACUACUAAUAGCAAGACUUCACCCAUGUCCUCAGGAACAAACGUAACUACUCACAAAGCAUAUUCAUGUUCAUAAUCAGAGGAGUAAUAAUAUGCAUUAAGGAUCUGAACAUAUGAUCUUCCACCAAGUAAACCAAUUAGCAUCAACUACAAGGAGUAAUCAACACUACUAGCAACCCACAGGUACCAAUUUGUGGUUUUGAUACAAGAUUGGAUACAAGAGAUGAACUAGGGUUUUGAGAGGAGAUGGUGCUGGUGAAGAUGUUGAUGGAGAUUGACCCCCUCCCGAUGAGAGGAUCGGUGGUGAUGACAAUGGUGAUGAUUUCCCCCUCCCGGAGGGAAGUUUCCCCGGCAGAACAGCUCUGCCGGAUCUCUAGAUUGGUUCCGCCAAGGUUCCGCCUCGUGGCGGCGGAGUUUCGUCUCGUAAGCUUGCCUCUAAUUUUUUCCAGGGUAAAAGUCUUCAUAUAGCAGAAGAUGGACACCAGAGGGCCACCAGGGGGCCCAGGAGACAAGGGGCGCACCCAGUAGGGGUGGGCACGACCCCCACCCUCCUGGCCUGGGUGUGGGCCCCCUCUGGUAGUUUCUUCGCUCAAUAUUUCUUAUUAAUUCCAAAAAUAACUUCCGUCGAGUUUCAGGAUUUUUGGAGCAGUGCAGAAUAGGUUUCCAAUGUUUGCUCCUUUUCCAGCCAGAAUUCCAGCUGCCGGCAUUCCCCCUCUUCAUGGUAAACCUUGUAAAAUAAGAGAGAAUAGCCAUAAGUAUUGAGAUAUAAUGUGUAAUAGCAACCCAUAAUGCAAUAAAUAUUGAUAUAAAAGCAUGAUGCAAAAUGGACGUAUCAGACAUCUUUUGUCCUACCCUCCCAUGGCAGCGGGGUCUUAGUGGAUACUAAGGGAUAUUAAGGCCUCCUUUUAAUAGAGUACCGGACCAAAGCAUUAACACAUAGUGAAUACAUGAACUCCUCAAACUACGGUCAUCACAGAGAAUUAUCCCGAUUAUUGUCACUUGCAAGAUAAUAGGUGACUAUAGACUUGCAAGAUAGGAUCAAGAACUCACAUAUAUUCAUGAAAACAUAAUAGGUUCAGAUCUGAAAUCAUGGCACUCGGGCCCUAGUGACAAGCAUUAAGCAUAGCAAAGUCAUAGCAACAUCAAUUUCAUAACAUAGCGGAUAUUAGGGAUCAAACCCUAACAAAACUAACUUGAAUUUACAUGGUAAAUCUCAUCCAACCCAUCACCGUCUAGCAAGCCUACGAUAGAAUUACUCACGCACGGCGGUGAGCAUCAUGAAAUUGGUGAUGGAGGAUGGUUGAUGAUGACGACGACGAUGAAUCCCCCUCUCUGGAGCCCCAAACGGACUCCAGAUCAGCCCUCCCGAGAGAGAUUAGGGCUUGGCGGCGGCUCCGUAUCGUAAAACGCGAUGAAACUUUUUCUCUAAUUUUUUUCUCCGGGAAAGCAAAUAUAUGGAGUUAGAGUUGAGGUCGGUGGACAUGGAGGGGGCCCACGAGGCAGGGGGGCGUGCCCCCACCCUCGUGGACAGGGUGUGGGCCCCCUGAUGCUGAUUCUUUCGCCAGUAUUUUUUAUUAAUUCUGAAAAGUUGCUCCGUGGAUUUUCACGUCAUUCCGAGAACUUUUAUUUCUGCACAAAAAUAACACCAUGGCAGUUCUGCUGAAAACAACGUUAGUCCGGGUUAGUUCCAUUCAAAUCAUGCAAGUUAGAGUCCAAAACAAGGGCAAAAGUGUUUGGAAAAGUAGAUACGACAGAGACAUAUCAACUCCCCCAAGCUUAAACCUUUGCUUGUCCUCAAGCAAUUCAGCUGACAAACUGAAAGUGAUAAAGAAAAACUUUUAUAAACUCUAUUUGCUCUUGUUUUUGCAAAUAUGUAAAGCCAUCAUUCAAGUUUUCAGCAAAGAUUAUGAACUAACCAUAUUCACAAUAACACUUAGGUCUCAUGUUUACUCAUAUCAAUGGCAUAAUCAACUAGCGAGCAAUAAUAAUAAAACUCGGAUGACACCACUUUCUCAAAACAAUCAUAAUAUGAUAUAAUAAGAUGGUAUCUUGCUAGCCCUUUCUGAGACUGCAAAACAUAAAUGCAGAGCACCUUUGAAAGAUCAAGGACUGACUAAACAUUGUAAUUUGUGGUAAAAGAGAUCCAGUCAUAGUCAUACCCAAUAUAAACUAAUAGUAAUGCAUGCAAAUGACAGCGGUGCUCUCCAGCGGGUGCUUUUUAAUAAGAGGGUGAUGACUCAACAUAAAAGUAAAUAGAAGGCCCUUCGCAAAGGGAAGCAGGGAUUUGUAGAGGUGCCAGAGCUCGAUUUUGAAAUAGAGAUGAAGAACAUUUUGAGCGGUAUACUUUCACUGUCAACAUAACAACUGAGAGAUAUCGAUAUCUUCCAUGCCACACACAUUAUAGGCGGUUCCCAAACAGAAUUGUAAAGUUUAUACUCCCCCACCACCAACAAUCAUCAAUCCAUGGCUUGCCCGAAACAACGGGUGCCUCCAACUAACAACAAUCAUCGGGGAGUUUUGUUUGUAAUUAUUUUGAUUUGAUUUGAGCAUGGGACUGGGCAUCCCGGUGACCAGCCAUUUUCUCGUGAAUGAGGAGCAGAGUGCACUCCUCUUGAGAAUAACCCGCCUAACAUGGAAGAUACAGACAUCCCUAGUUGAUACAUGAGCUGUUCGAGCAUACAAAAUAGAAUUUCAUUUGAAGGUUUGGACUUUGGUACAUACAAAUUUAUUUGGAACGGUAGGUAGAUACCGCAUAUUGGAAGGUAUGGUGGACUCAUAUGGAAUAACUUUGGGGUUUAUGGAGUUUGGAUGCACAAGCAAUAUUCCCGCUUAGUACAGGUGAAGGCUAGCAAGAGACUGGGAAGCAACCAACUGACAGAGCGACAACAGUCAUGAACAUGCAUUAAAAUUAAUCAACACCGAGUGCAAGCAUGAGUAGGAUAUAAUCCACCAUGAACAUAAAUAUCGUGAAGGCUAUGUUGAUUUUGUUUGUACUACAUGCGUGAACAUGUGCCAAGUCAAGUCACUCAAAUCAUUCAAAGGAGGAUACCACCCUAUCAUACCACAUCACAACCAUUUUAAUAGCAUGUUGGCACGCAAGGUAAACCAUUAUAAGCUCCUAGCUAAUUAAGCAUGGCAUAAGCAACUAUAAUCUCUAAUUGUCAUUGCAAACAUGUUUAUUCAUAAUAGGCUGAAUCAGGAACGAUGAACUAAUCAUAUUUACAAAAACAAGAGAGGUCGAGUUCAUACCAGCUUCUCUCAUCUCAAUCAGUCCAUCAUAUAUCGUCAUUAUUGCCUUUCACUUGCACGACCGAACGGUGUGGAUAAUAUUAAUAGUGCACGUGCAUUGGACUAAGCUAGAAUCUGCAAGCAUUCAAUUCAAGGGAGAAGACAAGGUAAUAUGGGCUCUUGGUUAAGUCAACAAUCAUGCAUAUGAGAGCCACUUAAACAUUUUCAUUAUCGUCUUCUCCUCUCAACCCCCAAAGGAAAGAAAAGAAAUAAAACUAUUUACAUAGGAAAGCUCCCAACAAGCAAAAGAAGAACGAGAAAUCUUUUUGGGUUUUCUUUUAAUUACUACUACUACUACAUGGAAAGUAAACUAACUAAUUUUUUGGGUUUUUUCUUAAUGUUUAUCAAACACACAAGAAGAAAGCUAGAAAAAGAAAUUAAACUAGCAUGGAUAGUACAAUGAAAGAGUAUGAGCACCGACAACUAGAAUGAGUGUGUGAACAUGAAUGUAAUGUUGGUGAGAAAUACGUACUCCCCCAAGCUUAGGCUUUUGGCCUAAGUUGGUCUAUGCCCAUGGAUCACGGCUACUCUCUCCGGUGUACUGAGGAGUGUCAUUAUACUUCCACUGGCUAGCAAUCUCCUCCGGAUCCCACUGAUAACAACAUGGUCGAUAAGGGCCAAGUGGUGGUUCCCGCUCAGGCUCUGGGGCUGAUGUCUGGCCAUGGAGCACAUAGACAGCCUCCGGCAAGACGGGGUAAGGGCUUGCAGUUAAAUCAAACAAAGAGGGUGCACGCAAGAUAAUAGUCUCACUGUGUUUCUUAUGAAAUCUCAAAUUAUACAAAAGCAUCUUAUCAUCAUUUUUAAUAAUAAACUCAUGUGCUACCAUGCUCUUAUAAUCUAGAAAGGUAGGGGGCAGCAGUUUUUCCUCUUUCUCAAAAUGCCUAAUAGGUAUCCUGAAAUGUUUAGCAAGGCGUGAAGCAUAGAUACCUCUAAAGAUGGGGCCCUUUUUACGGUUCAGGCUUAAUCGCUUAGCAAUAAUAGCGCCCAUACUAACAGAGUUAUCACAAAGUAAAGCAUGGAACAAAAUAAUAAUAUCAGGAACACUAAGGUUUCCACAGUUUCCGUGACAAAUUAAGCAUCGACUAGCAAAUAUUGCAAAGUAGCAUAAAACAGGAAAAAUGUAUGCUAGUAGUUCUUGCAUCGGAAACCUUCCUCGUUUCCCCUACAGUAAUAGUAUCAAUAAAUCCAUCCACAUAUUUACAAUGUGGUUCCUCUAAGCUGCCCCCGAAAGGUAUCUUGCAAACCGUGCAAAAUUCAUAUAGUGACAUCUCCCUAGCCACAUCAUAUAAAUGAAACUCUACUGAAGGAGGUGGUUUCUUAGGAUAAAAGUAGAAAUUUUGCACGAAAGUAUUGGUGAGUAAGAGAUACUGUUCGAUCUGGUCGUGGAGGAAGUCGGUGAGGCCCGCAUUAUCAACCAACGAAUAAAAAUCAUCAUGAAUACCGACUGCUCUCAAGAAACCACCACAAGGCCAUUCACACGGCCGUACUUCCGCCACACGAGGGAGAUUAUACUUAGGUUUUUCAUUCUCCUUAGCUUGUUUAUCCUUAGAGACUUGGCUAGAAGAGCCCCUCAAGAAAAAUCUCUUCAUCUUUUUCUGAAAAUUUCUGAAAUUUUUAGUAACUCAAAAUAAAAGUGAAGCAAACUCAACAAAAUUGAUAUCAACUACUCCCACAAGUGCCUAGAGCCUAUAUCAUGCAUUAAAAUUACUUGGGACCAUAUAAAUUUGACAUGCAAGCUCAAUAACAGGGUCACCUAGGCAGCAAAAAUUUGCAAUGAAUAAAGCACUAGAACAAAAACUAAUUGGACCAUUGGAGGAGUCACAUACCAAAGAACAAUCCCCCAAAGCAGUUUUGUGAACGGAGCUUUGAGCAAGGAGAUCGAAAAUGGCAGCAAGGUGAGCUAGAACUCGUGCUUGAGCUGGAUAGUGGUUUUUUGGGAGGAAGAAGAAGUGUGUGGGUGCAGGAAUAAGUGGAGGAGGGCCACCAUGGGCCCAUGAGGCAGGGGGCGCGCCCUGUAGGGGUGGGCGCACCCUGGACCCUCAUGGCCACGUGCCAGCUCCCCCUGCUAUGUUCUCAGUGCCAGGCAUUCUCAAAUAUUCCAGAAAAAUCAUAUUAAAUUUGCAUGGCAUUUGGAGAACUUUUAUUUUCGGGGUAUUUCUUAUUGCAAGGAUAAUUCAGAAAACAGACAGAAAAGUACUAUUUUACUUUAUUAAAUCUAAAUAACCGAAAGUAAAAGGAGGGUACAGAAGGUUGUGCUUUCUAAUUUCAUCCAUCUCAUGCUCAUCAAAAGGAAUCCAUUAACAAGGUUGAUCAAGUCUUGUUAACAAACUCAUUCCGAAUAGCAUGAAACCGGAGAAAUUUCGAAUAACACUAGGUUACCUCAACGGGGAUAUGCACAUCCCCAAUAAUAAGAAUAUCAUAUUUCUUCUUGACAGUAGGAAGAGGAAAUUCAAAACCUCCAAUAAUGAUAGUUGAAAUUUUUCCAAUAGAAUUGAUACUGUGAACUUGAGGUUGUUUCCUCGGAAAGUGUACCAUAUGCUCAUUACCAUUAACAUGAAAAGUGACAUUGCCUUUGUUGCAAUCAAUAACAGCCCCUGCAGUAUUCAAAAAGGGUCUACCAAGGAUAAUCGACAUUCUAUCGUCCUCGGGAAUAUCAAGAAUAACAAAGUCCGUUAAGAUAGUGACGUUUGCAACCACAACAGGCACAUCCUCACAAAUGCCGACAGGUAUAGUAGUUGAUUUAUCAGCCAUUUGCAAAGAUAUUUCAGUAGGUGUCAACUUAUUCAAUUCAAGUCUACAAUAUAAAGAGAGAGGUAUAACACUAACACCGGCUCCAAGAUCACAUAAAGCAGUUUUAACAUAAUUUGUUUUAAUGGAGCAACGUAUAGUUGGUACUCCUGGAUCUCCUAGUUUCUUAGGUAUUCCACCCUUAAAAGUAUAAUUAGCAAGCAUGGUGGAAAUUUCAGCUUCCGGUAUCUUUCUUUUAUUUGUAAUAAUAUCUUUCAUGUACUUAGCAUAAGGGUUUACUUUAAGCAUAUCAGUCAAUUGCAUACGUAAGAAGAUAGGUCUAAUCAUUUUAGCAAAGCGCUCAAAAUCCUCAUCAUCCUUUUUCUUGGAUGGCUUAGGAGGAAAAGGCAUGGGUUUCUGAACCCAUGGUUCUCUUUAUUUAGCGUGCUUCCUAGCAACAAAGUCUCUCUUAUCAUAAUGUUGAUUCUUUGAUUGUGGAUUAUCAAGAUCAACAGCAGGUUCAAUCUCUACAUCAUUAUUAUUGCUAGGUUGAGCAUCAACAUGAACAUUAUCAUUAACAUUAUCACUAGGUUCAUGUUCAUCACCAGAUUGUGUUUCAACAUCAGAAAUAGAAAUAUCAUUGGGAUUCUUAGGUGUGCCUACAACAGGUUCACUAGAAGCAUGCAAAGUCCUAUCAUUUUUAUUUUUCUUCUUUUUAGAAGGACUAGGUGCAUCUACAUUAUUUCUCUGAGAAUCUUGCUUAAUUCUCUUAGGGUGGCCUUCAGGAUACAAAGGUUCCUGAGUCAUUUUACCAGUUCUAGUAGCCACUCUAACAGCAAAAUCAUGUUUAUUAUUUAAUUUAUCGAGCAAAUCACUUUGAGCUUUAAGUACUUGUUCUGCUUGAGUGGUAACCAUAGAAGCAUAUUUACUAAUGAGUUUAAGUUCACCUUUGACUCUAGCCAUAUAAUCACUCAAGUGUCCAAUCAUGUAAGAAUUACUCUUUAAUUCUCUAACAACAUAAGCAUUGAAGUUUUCUUGUCUAGCCAUAAAGUCAUCAAAUUCAUCCAAGCAUUGGCUAGCAAACUUAGUAGAUGGGAUUUCAACCUUAUCAUAUCUAUAGAGAGAAUUUACCUUUACUACCUGUGUCGGGUUAUCAAGACAUGUGUUUCUUCAAUAGGUGGUAAAUUAAGACCAUGUAUUUCUUUAACAAGGGGUAAAUUCUUAACAUCUUCAGCUUUAAUACCUUUUUCAUUCAUAGAUUUCUUUGCCUCUUGCAUAUCUUCAGGACCGAGAAAUAGAACACCCCUCUUCUUCGAAGUUGGUUUAGGAGUUGGCUUAGGAGUUGGCUCAAGAAGUGUCCAAUUAUUUUCAUUAGUCAACAUAUUAUUCAAUAGCAAUUCAACUUGAUCGACUGUUCUUUCCCCAAAAACACAACCAGCACAACUAUCCAAGUGGUCCUUGGAAGCACCGGUUAGUCCAUUAUAAAAGAUAUCAAGUAUUUCAUUUUUCUUAAGAGGAUAAUCAGGCAAAGCAUUAAGUAAUCGAAGAAGCCUCCCCCAAGCUUGUGGGAGACUCUCUUCUUCAAUUUGCACAAAAUUAUGUAUUUCCCUCAAGGCAGCUUGUUUCUUAUGAGCAGGGAAAUAUUUAGCAGAGAAGUAAUAAAUCAUAUCCUGGGGACUACGCACACAGCCAGGAUCAAGAGAAUUAAACCAAGUUUUAGCCUCACCCUUUAAUAAGAAUGGAAAUACCUUAAGGAUAUAAUAGUAGCGAGAUUUCUCAUCAUUAGUGAACAGGGUGGCUAUCUCAUUUAACUUAGUAAGAUGUGCCACAACAGUUUCAGAUGCAUAGCCAUAAAAAGGAUCAGAUUCAACCAAAGUAAUUAUCUCAGGAUCAACAGAGAAAUCAUAAUCCUUAUCAGUAACAAAGAUAGGUGAAGUAGCAAAAGCAGGGUCAUAUUUCAUUCUAGCAUUCAGAGUUUUCUGUUUCAGUUUAGCUAAUAACUUCUUAAGAUCAGAUCUAUCAUUGCAAGCAAGAAAAUCUCUAGCAGUUUCUUCAUCCAUAACAUAACCCUUAGGAACAACAGGCAAUUCAUACUUAGGGGGAGAACCUUCAUCAUCACUAUCUUCAAUAAUUUCAUUUUCAAUAAUUUCAUUCUCUCUAACCCUAGCAAGUUGUUCAUCAAGAUAUUCACCUAAUGGCAUGGUAGUAUCAAGCAUAAAAGUAGUUUCAUCAUAAGUAUCAUGCAUAGUAGAAGUGGCAUCAUCAAUAACAUGCGACAUAUCAAAAUUAAUAGCAGAAGCAGGUUUAGGUGUCGCAAGCUUACUCAUAACAGAAGGAGAAUCUAGUGCAGAGCUAGAUGGCAGUUCCUUACCUCCCCUCGUAGUUGAGGAAUAAAUCUUAGUUCUUUCGUCUUUCAAGUUCCUCAUAGUGACCAGCAGAUAUAAAUCCCAAGUGACUCAAAGAAUAGAGCUAUGCUCCCAGGCAACGGCGCCAGAAAAUAGUCUUGAUAACCCACACGUAUAGGGGAUCGCAAUAGUUUUCGAGGGUAGAGUAUUCAACCCAAAUUUAUUGAUUCGACACAAGGGGAGCCAAAGAAUAUUCUCAAGUAUUAGCAGUUGAGUUGUCAAUUCAACCACACCUGGAUAACUUAGUAUUUGCAGCAAAGUAUUUAGUAGCAAAGUAGUAUGGAAGUAACGGUAACAGUGGCAAAAGUAACAGUAGUAGUUUUGUAGUAAUUGUAAAAGUAGCACCGGUAAAGUAAAUAAGCAAAGCACAAUAUGUGGAAAGCUCAUAGGCAUUGGAUCAGUGAUGGAUAAUUAUGUCGGAUGCGGUUCAUCAUGUAACAGUUAUAACAUAGGCUGAUGCAAAACUAGCUCCAGUUCAUCAAUGUAAUGUAGGCAUGUAUUCCGAAUAUAGUCAUACGUGCUUAUGGAAAAGAACAUGCAUGACAUUGAUGACCCACAAGUAUAGGGGAUCUAUCAUAGUCCUUUCGAUAAGAAAGAGUGUCGAACCCAACGAGGAGCAGAAGGAAAUAACAAGCGGUUUUCAGUAAGGUUUUCUCUGCAAGCACUGAAAUUGUAGGUAACAUGUGAUAAGAUAAAUUGUAACAAGUCACAAGCAAUGAAAGUAAAUAAAGUGCAGAAAGGUGGCCCAAUCCUUUUUGUAGCAAAGGACAAGCCUGGACAAUUUCUUAUAAUGAGAAAAGAGCUCCCGAGGACACAUGGGAAUUAUCAUCAAGCUAGUUUUCAUCACGCUCAUAUGAUUCGCGUUCGGUACUUUGAUAAUUUGGUAUGUGGGUGGACCGGUGCUUGGGUACUGCCCUUACUUGGACAAGCUUCCACUUAUGAUUAAACCCUAUUGCAAGCAGCCGCAAGUACAAAAGAAGUAUUAAGGUAAACCUAACCAUAGCAUGAAACAAGUGGAUCCAAAUCAGCCCCUUACGAAGCAACUUAUAAACUAGGGUUUAAGCUUCUGUCACUCUAGCAACCCAUCAUCUACUUAUUACUUCCCAAUGACUUCCUCUAGGCCCAAAUAAUGGUGAAGUGUCAUGUAGUCUACGUUCGCAUAACACCACUAGAGGAAAGACAACAUACAUCUCAUCAAAAUAUCGAACGAAUACCAAAUUCACAUGACUACUAAUAGCAAGACUUCACCCAUGUCCUCAGGAACAAACGUAACUACUCACAAAGCAUAUUCAUGUUCAUAAUCAGAGGAGUAAUAAUAUGCAUUAAGGAUCUGAACAUAUGAUCUUCCACCAAGUAAACCAAUUAGCAUCAACUACAAGAACUAAUCAACACUACUGGCAACCCACGGCUACCAAUUUGUGGUUUUGAUACAAGAUUGGAUACAAGAGAUGAACUAGGGUUUUGAGAGGAGAUGGUGCUAGCGAAGAUGUUGAUGGAGAUUGACCCCUUCCCGAUGAGAGGAUCGUUGGUGAUGACGAUGGUGAUGAUUUCCACCUCCCGGAGGGAAGUUUCCCCGACAGAACAGCUCUGCCGGAGCUCUAGAUUGGUUCCGCCAAGGUUCCGCCUCAUGGCGGCGGAGUUUCGUCCCGUAAGCUUUCCUCUGAUUUUUUCCAGGGUAAAAGCCUUCAUAUAGCAGAAGAUGGACACCGUAGGGCCACCAGGGGGCCCAGGAGACAGGGGUGAAAGUGGAACUAUCCCUAGGUGGUUUUGGUAAUUCAUAACAACAUAUAGCUCAUUGAGCUAAUGCUAUUCCAAGACUAUUAUUUCAGGAAAGCUCAAUGAAUGGCAUGGCAUGGAUGAUGAAAGUGGAUCCCUCAAAAUAUUAAGAACAAAGGAUUGGCUCAAGCUCAAAAGUUUAAGACUCUACAUUUUACAUUUUAGUGAUCCAAGAUCACAUUGAGUCUAUAGGAAAAGCCAAUACUAUCAAGGAGGGAUGAGGUGUUGCUUAAUGAGCCUCUUGCUUCAAGUGCUUAGUGAUAUGCUCCAAAAACCCUCAACUACUUUCUCACAUCCACAUAUGACCCAAACCCAAAGUCAAAAUCGGUCCUACCGAUUCUUUCUAUCUGGCGCCACCGAGUCCAAAUGUCAUAGCCACUGCCACAAACCCUAGGCAAAUCGGUCUCACCGAUAGGGAUCUCGGUCUCACCGAGAUGGGAUUGCAAACUCUUUGUUUCCCUUCGUAAUGUUUUCGUCUAACCGAAGUGAGCGAUCGGUCCCACCGAAAUUGCAAUGUAAACUCUCUGUUUCCCCUUUGUAACAUUUCGGUCUCACUAAAAAGAGCGAAUCGGUCCCACCGAGUUUACCUGACCAACUCUCUGGUUAGCUAAUUACCAAAAUCGGUCUCACCGAGUUUGUGUAAUCGGUCUCACCGAGAUUACGUUAUUCCCUAACCCUAACCAUAUCGGUCCCACCGAGUUGCAUGUCGGUCCCACCAAAAAUCCUAACGGUCACUAGAUUUGCUGAAUUGGUCCGGCCGAGUUUAUCAAUUCGGUCCCACCGUGUUUGGCAAGUUGUCUGUAACGGUUAGAUUUUUUGUGGAGGCUAUAUAUACCCCUCCACCUCCUCUUCAUUCGUGGAGAGAGCCAUCAGAACAAACCUACACUUCCAACUUACCAUUUCUGAGAGAGAACCACCUACUCAUGUGUUGAGGCCAAGAUAUUCCAUUCCUACCAUAUGAAUCUUGAUCUCUAGCCUUCCCCAAGUUGCUUUCCACUCAAAUCUCCUUUCUACCAGAUCCAAAUCCUAUGAGAGAGAGUUGAGUGUUGGGGAGACUAUCAUUUGAAGCACAAGAGCAAGGAGUUCAUCAUCAACGCACCAUUUGUUACUUCUUGGAGAGUGGUGUCUCCUAGAUUGGCUAGGUGUCACUUGGGAGCCUCUGACAAGAUUGUGGAGUUGAACCAAGGAGUUUGUAAGGGCAAGGAUAUCGCCUACUUCGUGAAGAUCUACCGCUAGUGAGGCAAGUCCUUCGUGGGCGACGGCCAUGGUGGUAUAGACAAGGUUGCUUCUUCGUGGACCCUUCGUGGGUGGAGCCCUCCAUGGACUCGCGCAACCGUUACCCUUCGUGGGUUGAAGUCUCCAUCAACGUGGAUGUACGGUAGCACCACCUAUCGGAACCACGACAAAAACAUCCGUGUCUCCAAUUGCGUUUGAAUCCUCCUAAACCCUUCCCUUUACAUUCUUGCAAGUUGCAUGCUUUAUUUUCCACUGCUCAUAUACUAUUUGCAUGCUUGCUUGAAUUGUGUGAAGAUUGCUUGACUUGUCCAAAGAUAGCUAAAAUCUACCAAAGUCUAAAAUUGGGAAAAGGUUAAGUUUUUAAUUGGUUAAGUAGUCUAAUCACCCCCCCUCUAGACAUACUUCAAGGUCCUACAAGUUGUAUCAGAGCCUUGGUCUCCAUUUGCUUUGAUUUCCAUAGCAUUUGGUGGUCAUAGCGUUGGUUUCAUAACCUAGGAGAGUAUGGCAUCUAUCGAGGGAAAUUAUCAUCGUAGAGGUCCUUACUUUGAUGGUACUAAUUUUGCUAGUUGGAAGCAUAAGAUGAAAAUGCAUAUUCUCGGACAUAACCCCGCCGUUUGGGCUAUUGUUUGUAUUGGCUUGCAAGGUGAAUUCUUUGAUGGGAGAGAGCCGAACCGUGAAGCUAACGCGGAUGAAUUGAAAAUGCUGCAAUACAACACUCAUGCUUGUGAUAUCCUCUUCAAUGGCUUGUGCCCCGAGGAAUUCAACAAAAUCAGCCGUCUUGAGAAUGCAAAGGAAAUUUGGGAUACUUUGAUUGAUAUGCAUGAAGGUAUCAACUCCGUCAAGGAAUCCAAGCUGGAUGUGCUCCAAAGUCAGCUUGACAAGUUCAAAAUGAAGGAUGGUGAAGGUGUCGCUGAAAUGUACUCUAGGCUUGCUCUUAUCACAAAUGAGAUUGCCGGCUUAGGAAGCGAAGAGAUGACCGACAGAUUCAUCAUCAAGAAGAUCCUAAGAGCAUUGGAUGGAAAGUAUGAUACCGUGUGCACAUUGAUCCAAAUGAUGCCAAAUUACAAAGAUCUCAAGCCAACGGAAGUCAUUGGAAGAAUUGUUGCUCAUGAGAUGUCACUCAAGGAUAAGGAGGAACUUCACAACAAGUCAAGUGGUGCUUACAAAGCCUCAUGUGAAGCCCCCACAUCAUCAAGUGAGAAACAAACCUUCAAUGAAGAGUUGAGCUUAAUGGUGAAGAACUUCAACAAAUUCUACAAGAGUAGAAGUAAAGAAAGAAGCUCCAAGUCAAGGUCCUACAAUGACAAAAGAUCUUCUAGUCGAGAGCGCAAUUGCUACAAUUGUGGGAGACCCGGACACUACUCCAACGAGUGUACGGCACCCUACAAAAGAAGCUCCAAGUCAAGGUCCUACAAUGACAAAAGAUCUUCUAGUCGAGAGCGCAAUUGCUACAAUUGUGGGAGACCCGGACACUACUCCAAUGAGUGUAUGGCACCCUACAAAAGAAGAGAAGAUUCUCCAAAAAGAAGAAGUAGAAGAGAAUAAUCACCACCAAGGGAGAGAAGGAGUAGAGAUGAUCGUUAUGAACGAAGACCCUCACGGAGAAGCAAGGAUUCGGAAAGGAAGGACAAGUCAUCAAAGAGCUACACAAAAUGAAGACAUCAAGCUCAUGUUGGUGAAUGGGUAUCCGGCUCCGACUCCGACAAUCACUCUGAGAGAAGCUAUCACUCCGACCCCGAAUAUACUCAAGAUGAAGGUGUUGCCGGUCUAGCACUUGUGUCAACCAACUCCUACGACAUAUUUGAUUCACCAAAUGAAGGAAUUGGAUGAUGCUUCAUGGCCAAAGGCCCAAAGGUAACACAUCCCGAGUAUGUUGAUUUCAAUAGUGAUGAAGAUGACUUGCUAGGUGAUGAUGAUCUACUUAUUGACAACUCUAGUAGUGAAUACUAUAUUGAAACAUCAAUUAAUCAUGCUAAUCAAGAUAAAACAAAUGACAAUGAUAAGGAGAAGAUUGAUCUUCUAACUAAAGAACUAAACACUCCUAAGUUAGCUCAUGAAACUAUCUUCGAAGAUCAUCAAGAACUUUUAAGGGCUCAUGAGAAGUUACGCUUUGAAAAGCUCAAUCUUGAGCAAGAGCAUGAGUUCUUAAAGGCAAUCAAUGAUGAUCUUCGUAAGAAAAGUUCUUCUUACAUUGCCAAGCGUUUACUCUUAUCUACUUACAUGCCUCGAGUCAACUCUAGUAACAAGAACAAGAAGGAUUCUUCCUCUAGUAGUAACAAUAAUAAUGCUAAAUCCAAUAUUGUUGCUUCUAGUAGUUCUCUUGAUUCCACUAAUGAUUCUCUUAGCCAAGUUACACUUGAGCAAGAAAAUAGCUUAUUGAAGGGAAUCAUAGAGAAAGGUGUAUACAAGAGCCUUGCCGGGAGUAAGCAAUUCGAGGAAAUUGUACGCAAGCAAGGAAGGCACCGGAAGAAUCAAGGUGUUGGUUUUGAACGAAAGUUCAAUGCCAAUGGAGUUGAGUGGGAAGAAGAUCAAUACCCCAAGACGAAGUUUGUCCCUCAACAAGAUAAGUAUGAUCCUCCUUCCUUCAAGGGAACACAAGCACAAGAUGAUCUUCCACCACAAGACCACAAGAACAAAGGCAAGGACAAGCUUCAAGAGGAGAUUGAUGCAUUUGAAGAAGCACCUAAGGCCUUGGUCAAGUGGGUUCCCAAGACUACGUCAAGUUCUACUUCAUCAAGUACAACUACAACUCCAAGGAUUCCCAUCAAGAUGAUGUGGAUCCCGAAGAAGAAGAACUAGAGAGUUCUUGAGGGUGACUCCGCCAACAUUCUUCACUCAUAUCAUUAUGGCAAGGACAAGUGCAAUCAACUUUCAUAUCUUCCACUAGUUCAAGGAGUCACAAACCCUCAUGUUGGUAAGGCAAGGGACAAGGUAACCUAAUGUUUUCAUGGACAUCAUAUUGUGUAUGCAUCACUCUAUGUCUAUGGAUAUUCUUGUUUGUUCCUUGUGGGACUAACCCAUGUAGGUAUUGAAAGUGCAACUCACUCCAAAGGAUUGCUCCAAAUGAUCUACAUCAACAUUGAGCAUCCACAUCUUCAACACCUACAUGAAGUCAUCAUCGACAAAAACCAAGGUUAGUUCAUCCCUCUAAGGGGGGAUCUCACAUCUAGGGGGAGCUUAACUCUAAGAAUUGAGUCAAAGAAACUCUAGUGAUGUGAACACAUCAAUGCAUUAUGUAAAAGUGGUAACCCCACUUGAGCUUAAACGAUGAGUAUGACCUAUGAUCAAAUGUUCUCAUUUGACUCCUAAGUCAUUAUACUCAUAUAUAUAUAUAUGACCUAGUCAUCGCCAAUUGUUUGAUAGAUGCUAGAAUUGGUUGUGCAUGCUUUGCCACAUAUUUCAUUUGCCAUUUUAUUAUGUGAGCAUGUUGGUUGCAUAUUUUACUCAUUCGAGGACAUCCACUUGUUGUUUUGAUUGUUUGGUUUCUUUUUCUUUUGCCAAGUGGAUGUACAAGAAUGCCUAAGAACCUUCUCUAGCUAUCUAUGCUUUUCUCGUCUCAAACUCUAUUCAUGCUACAUCACAAAAUUUGAUCAAGUCAGAUUCGAACCACUCUGUGUGAGGAGCACUCGGAGUCCCCGAUUUGUCAUAGACUUAAACUUUCAAAACUUCUUUGUGAUUCUCGGUCUGACCGAUUCCUCCAUUUCGGUCCUACCGAGAUCACUAAGUCGAUCUAGGUUUUCAAUCUUGGUGCAACCGAUUUGAACUGUUCGGUCACACCGAGUUGCUGUAACUGUCAACAGUUAUGCAUCUCGGUGCCGCCGAGUUGUUCCACUCGGUCACACCGACAGUGUCGGGCUAUAUAUUCACACGGGCAAAACAUUUGGAAAACUUUCUCCAAACCUCUUCGCCCGCGCAUAGCUCGCUCUGCCUACUAGGUCUCCGGAUCAUCGACUUCGUCGCCAGCCGCCUCCUGUUGCUGGUCUCCGCCGCCGUCAACGGAUUUCUUCUCCGCCGUUGCCGCCGUAGCGAGUUCAUCACCGAACUAGGGUAUGAUCACAGUGCUAUCCUUGUCUGAUUCUCAACACAUUGUGUUCAUUAUGAUUCUUGCCACGAUUGAAACACCUCUAUCCAUUCAAAACAAUCCUUAGAAUAGAUGCAAUUUGAAAAUUUAGGGUUAGGUUUCCGCCGAAACCAUCUCGGACCCACCGAGUUGAAAAACUCGGUCCCACCGAUUCGGCUAACGCCAUUGCACUAGUAACUCUCGGUCUGACCGAGAAUUGCUAAUCGGUGUGACUGAUUUUAAAACUUUUGAAACCCUAGCAGUCUCAGUGCCACCGAACUGUGACUAGGUCUGAACGAGUUCACUAGUUUAGGUUCCAAAACUGCUUCGGUAUCACCGAGUUUGAAAAUCGGUUGAUCCGAAAUGCUUUUUGUGGGAAACUAAAACUAAGUUUUUGAAUCAUUCUUUUGCAAAAAUCUCUGCAUUUUGUGAUGCUCAUCCACUCUAUCUCAUCUAUAACUAUUCACAGGGUCAGCAGUCAGUAAUUUCAGCAUGUCAGACCAAAAUGAUAGUCAGAACAGGGAAGAAGAGCAGAUUCACAUGAGUGAGGGCACUAGUCCCUCAAGUUCUUCAGAUGAUGGCAGCAGAAGCACUCCUAGCAAUCUGCCUAAAGCAGCCACAAGACAGAAGAAGAGAACCUCAGACUCUGAGGAUGAGGACUAUGUGGCAGCUGAAGAUGAGGCUACUUCCAAGAAGGUAGUGCUCAAAAAGGAGUAUGGCUCAGCAAAGACCUCAAAUUCUGGACUUAAUAGGAAGGUUCCUGCCAAGAGGACACCUAUGCUGAAGGUCAGAGGAUCAACAUAGGUACCUGAAAAGCCUGAUCCCAAAGAGGCACCUGCAAGAAGGAUUACCACUUCCAAACCCAAGAAGGUUCCCACUGGAGAAACCAUGAAGUUUGCUAUUGAGUCAGAAGAUGAAGCUGCUGGUCAAGAUAAGAAGAAAAAGAGAGUCAAAACCACUACUGCCAAAGUUCUUGGCAAUCCCUCUAUGAGGAGAGACUCCGAGGAAGAGGAAGAAGAGGUUGCUGCACCAGCACCCAAGGCACAAAAGCUGAUGGGUGAUGCUAUAAAGUCAGGGGCUGCAACAUCAAAGCCCAAGGAAGCACCCAAAGCUGCCUCCAAGCCCAAGAGUGCACCAAAGAGGAAUACCAGGAGUAUACCAGCUACUGAGAAGAACAAGGCCCCAGUGCCUGAAGUUGCUGCUGAAGAAGAUGAUGAAGGACAAGUCCCGAGGAAGCUCAAACCCAAGAUUCCAGACCACAAUGAUGCUCAUCCUGUGGCUGAGAACAUGAACAUCAGGAGAGAUUCAGGGUUGAGGCUAUGGAGAUUGUCUGAUCCAUAUGCAAUCAGAAGAAGGACUGAUGUUGACUACAGGUUCCACACAAAGGAACAACAGGAUUUCUAUGAGACAAUCUUGUUGGACAAGAAGCCUAUAGUGUGUGAUAUGAGAUGGGUCGACUGGACCUACAUGAAGGAGAAUGAGGAACACUAUCCUAGAGUGCAAGACAGUUUCAUUGCUUAUGGAGUUGCAGAUUUUGUUGGACAGAAGCUCAUAAACUGGAAUGAUGAGCUCAUUAUGCAAUUUUACUCCACAGCACAUUUCUAUCCAGAUGGAAGGAUAGUUUGGAUGUCUGAAGGUACAAGGUACCAAUCAACUAUUGAGGAAUGGGCCAAUCUGAUCAAUGCCCCAAAGGAGAGUGAAGAUGACCUGGAUGUUUAUGCCAAGAAAAAGAUGGAUCACAAUUCUAUGUCACAUAUGUACAAGGAGAUCCCAGACAAAGCUCUUGAGACUUUCAAGUUUGGGUCAGUCCAUUAUCUUCUGUCAGGGCUGCCAACGAUCAUCUGGAUUCUAAGGCACACUCUUUUGCCCAAGUCAGGUGACCACAACAUGAUCAUAGGGCAUGCUAUAAACUUGCUACACUUGUUUGAUGUGCCAUAGAAAUUCAAGGUCAUGAGCCUCAUGGUUGAGACCAUCAAGAGGACAGCAGCAGACCAAAAGAGAAGUUGUGGAUAUGCCCCACAAAUUCAGGAGUUGAUUAACUCAAAGAUGGGCACAGGAAAAUACUUGCUGGACAAAGAACAUUUUGCUAUCAAUCCAGAAUUUGAGGACAAUCAAGUUGUGAUGAAUGAGAAUGAACCAUCAUCAGUACAAGCUCAAGAGAAGGAGAAAGCAAAGAAAGAGAAGGCUGCCAAGAUGCCAACUCAAGAGGAGGCAUCUGAAUACUUUUUGAAGAACAAGCAGGAGCAGCUUGGUUACUUGAUAGCAUCAACUCUGAGGAUUGAGAAGGGGUUGGCCACCCUAACUCAAAACUAGGAGAACCUGGAAAUAAUCAUGGAACAAAUUUUUUUUGAUUUAGAUGUCAAAGUAACUGAGAUUCAGUCACUUGUGGAGCAGCUACAGGAUGACAUGCAGGAGAGGAAGGGCAAGACAACCACAGAUGCAUUUGCCAGAGUGCCUAGAUCUUAGAGAUCAGCUGCACUGCCAGUGAUAGACACCAGAGCCACUUCAUAUGCACCAGCUACAGCUCCUACAGCUCCAGUGCAACCAGCUUCAGCACCCACACCUCCAGCUCCAUCUACAUCAACUGAUGCUUUCGUCCUUGGCGUUCUAUCUACACCACCACCUGAAGACCAAGCAUGAGAGUCGAUCUAGUACUAUGCAUUUUCUAUGAACUUUUUGGUAACUUGUUGCCAAAGGGGGAGAAAAAUGUAUAGAUCAUAGGCUUCAAGAGAGAGUGAUGCUUUUAUUCUCUCUUGCUUUUGUGGUUGAACUUUAUUUGCUUGUUUGAGAUACUCUAUGCUAUUAUCUGUGAGACAGUGAUGAUCAUGUGUUUGAUCAUAAGCUACACUUAUGCUUGUUUGAUGAUAUUAUCUUACUUAUCCUUAUAUGAUCAUUCACUUUGCUUGGUGAUGAGUGCAUGUAUUCAAUCUUUAUUAUUUUGAGCGCUCCACCAAGAUGUAUGUGACAUGGAAGAGUAACCCAUGAGCCUAAUUGCUUGUGCAUUUGCAGUCCAAAGCAAAUCUUAAUCUAUGCACAAAUUUAGGGGGAGCUCUUGCUUAUCACAUACUUCUCAAAGCGGCGAUGUUUUUCAAUCUUAUUAUCAUUUGUCGAAGCUUUGAUCUAUAUGUUGUCAUCAAUUACCAAAAAGGGGGAGAUUGACAGUGCAACUAUCCCUAGGUGGUUUUGGUAAUUCAUAACAACAUAUAGCUCAUUGAGCUAAUGCUAUUCCAAGACUAUUAUUUCAGGAAAGCUCAAUGAAUGGCAUGGAAUGGAUGAUGAAAGUGGAUCCCUCAAAAUAUUAAGGACAAAGGAUUGGCUCAAGCUCAAAAGUUUAAGACUCUACAUUUUACAUUUUAGUGAUCCAAGAUCACAUUGAGUCUAUAGGAAAAGCCAAUACUAUCAAGGAGGGAUGAGGUGUUGCUUAAUGAGCCUCUUUCUUCAAGUGCUUAGUGAUAUGCUCCAAAAACCCUCAACUACUUUCUCACAUCCACAUAUGACCUAAACCCAAAGUCAAAAUCGCUCCUACCGGUUCUUUCUAUCCAGCGCCACCGAGUCCAAAUGUCAUAGUCACUGCCACAAACCCUAGGCAAAUCGGUCUCACCGAGAUGGGAUUGCAAACUCUCUGUUUUCCUUCGUAACGUUUCGGUCUAACCGAAGUGAGCGAUCGGUCCCACCAAGAUUGCAAUGUAAACUCUCUGUUUCCCCUUCGUAACAUUUCGGUCUCACCGAAAAGAGCGAAUCGGUCCCACCGAGUUUACCUGACCAACUCUCUGGUUAGCUAAUUACCAAAAUUGGUCUCACCGAGUUUGUGUAAUCGGUCUCACCGAGAUUACGUUAUGCCCUAACCCUAACCAUAUCGGUCCCACCGAGUUGCAUGUUGGUCCCACCGGAAAUCCUAACGGUCACUAGAUUUGCUGAAUCGGUCCGGCCGAGUUUAUCAAUUCGGUCCCACCGAGUUUGGCAAGUUGUGUGUAAUGGUUAGAUUUUGUGUGGAGGCUAUAUAUACCCCUCCAUCUCCUCUUCAUUCGUGGAGAGAGCCAUCAGAACAAACCUACACUUCCAACUUACCAUUUCUGAGAGAGAACCACCUACUCAUGUGAUGAGGCCAAGAUAUUCCAUUCCUACCAUAUGAAUCUUGAUCUCUAGCCUUCCCCAAGUUGCUUUCCACUCAAAUCUCCUUUCUACCAGAUCCAAAUCCUAUGAGAGAGAGUUGAGUGUUGGGGAGACUAUCAUUUGAAGCACAAGAGCAAGGAGUUCAUCAUCAACGCACCAUUUGUUACUUCUUGGAGAGUGGUGUCUCCUAGAUUGGCUAGGUGUCACUUGGGAGCCUCCGACAAGAUUGUGGAGUUGAACCAAGGAGUUUGUAAGGGCAAGGAGAUCGCCUACUUCGUGAAGAUCUACCGCUAAUGAGGCAAGUCCUUCGUGGGCGACGGCCAUGGUGGGAUAGACAAGGUUGCUUCUUCGUGGACCCUUCGUGGGUGGAGCCCUCCGUGGACUCGCGCAACCGUUACCCUUUGUGGGUUGAAGUCUCCAUCAACUUGGAUGUACGAUAGCACCACCUAUCGGAACCACGACAAAAACAUCCGUGUCUCCAAUUGCGUUUGAAUCCUCCUAAACCCUUCCCUUUACAUUCUUGCAAGUUGCAUGCUUUAUUUUCCGCAGCUCAUAUACUCUUUGCAUGCUUGCUUGAAUUGUGUGAAGAUUGCUUGACUUGUCCAAAGAUAGCUAAAAUCUGCCAAAGUCUAAAAUUGGGAAAAGGUUAAGUUUUUAAUUGGUCAAGUAGUCUAAUCACCCCCCCCCCCUCUAGACAUACUUCAAGGUCCUACAAGGGGGCGCGGCCAGUAGGGGUGGGCGCGCUCCCCACCCUCCUGGCCUGGGUAUGGGCCCCCUCUGGUAGUUUCUUCGCUCAAUAUUUCUUAUUAAUUCCAAAAAUAACUUCUGUGGAGUUUCAGGAUUUUUGGAGCAGUGCAGAAUAGGUUUCCAAUGUUUGCUCCUUUUCCAGCCAGAAUUCCAGCUGCCGGCAUUCCCCCUCUUCAUGGUAAACCUUGUAAAAUAAGAGAGAAUAGCCAUAAGUAUUGAGAUAUAAUGUGUAAUAACAGCCCAUAAUACAAUAAAUAUUGAUAUAAAAGCAUGAUGCAAAAUGGACGUAUCAGACAUCUUUUGUCCUACCCUCCCAUGGCAGCGGGGUCUUAGUGAAAACUAAGGGAUAUUAAGGCCUCCUUUUAAUAGAGUACUGGACCAAAGCAUUAACACGUAGUGAAUACAUGAACUCCUCGAACUACGGUCAUCACCGAGAAGUAUCCCGAUUAUUGUCACUUCGGGGUUGUAGGAUCAUAACACAUAAUAGGUGACUAUAGACUUGCAAGAUAGGAUCAAGAACUCACAUAUAUUCAUGAAAACAUAAUAGGUGCAGAUCUGAAAUCAUGGCACUCGGGCCCUAGUGACAAGCAUUAAGCAUAGCAAAGUCAUAGCAACAUCAAUCUCAUAACAUAGUGGAUACUAGGGAUCAAACCCUAACAAAACUAACUUGAAUUUACAUGGUAAAUCUCAUCCAACCCAUCACCGUCUAGCAAGCCUACGAUGGAAUUACUCACGCACGGCGGUGAGCAUCAUGAAAUUGGUGAUGGAGGAUGGUUGAUGAUGACGACGGCGAUGAAUCCCCCUCUUCGGAGCCUCGAGCGGACUCCAGAUCAGCCCUCCCGAGAGAGAUUAGGGCUUGGCGGCGGCUCCGUGUCGUAAAACGCGAUGAAACUUUUUCUCUAAUUUUUUUCUCCACGAAAGCAAAUAUAUGGAGUUAGAGUUGAGGUCGGUGGACAUCGAGGGGGCCCACGAGGCAGGGGGGCGUGCCCCCACCCUCGUGGACAGGGUGUGGGCCCCCUGACACUGAUUCUUUCGCCAGUAUUUUUUAUUAAUUCUGAAAAGUUGCUCCGUGGAUUUUCAGGUCAUUCCGAGAACUUUUAUUUCUGCACAAAAAUAACACCAUGGCAGUUCUGCUGAAAACAGCGUCAGUCCGGGUUAGUUCCAUUCAAAUCAUGCAAGUUAGAGUCCAAAACAAGGGCAAAAGUACUUGGAAAAGUAGAUACGACGGAGACAUAUCAACUCCCCCAAGCUUAAACCUUUGCUUGUCCUCAAGCAAUUCAGUUGACAAACUGAAAGUGAUAAAGAAAAAGUUUUACAAACUCUGUUUGCUCUUGUUGUUGCAAAUAUGUAAAGCCAGCAUUCAAGUUUUCAGCAAAGAUUAUGAACUAACCAUAUUCACAAUAACACUUAGGUCUCAUGUUUACUCAUAUCAAUGGCAUAAUCAACUAGAGAGCAAUAAUAAUAAAACUCGGAUGACAACACUUUCUCAAAACAAUCAUAAUAUGAUAUAAUAAGAUGGUAUCUCGCUAGCCCUUUCUGAGACCGCAAAACAUAAAUGCAGAGCACCUUUAAAGAUGCGGCGGCUUCGUAUCGUAAAACGCGAUGAAACUUUUUCUCUAAUUUUUUUCUCUGCGAAAGCAAAUAUAUGGAGUUGGAGUUGAGGUCGGUGGACGUCCAGGGGGGCCAUGAGGCAGGGGGCAUGCCCUAGGGGAGGGGGCGCGCCCCCCACCCUCGUGGACGGUGUGUGGUCCCCCUGACGCUGAUUCUUUCGCCAAUAUUUUUUAUUAAUUCUUGCUCCGUGGAUUUUUAGGUCAUUCCGAGAAUUUUUAUUUCUGCACAAAAAUAACACCAUGGCAGUUCUGCUGAAAACAACGUCAGUCCGGGUUAGUUCCAUUCAAAUCAUGCAAGUUAGAGUCCAAAACAAGGGCAAAAGUGUUUGGAAAAGUAGAUACGACGGAGACGUAUCAGUGUCCAUGUGCGAAAACUUCUUGGGUUGUCGACCGCACUGGGGUCUUUUCAAGCACAUCUUCACAAUCCGCUCCCAGUCGGUGAAGAAAGCGAAUUCGAGUGACGAGAGAACAUACGUUAUCCAAAUGUGUGGGGGUUUGGGCAUCCAGGAGAGGAAAAGGAGUUCUUUCCCUUCCAUGACACUUCCUGAGUCGGUCAGGGGCUGCCAGUCGACCUGGAUCUACUUCCAGGACAUUGCGACUCCAGGUCAGUUGACUGGACUUCCCCCUUUUUCUUUCGAUCAUGCCUAGCAACCUUCUUCACUGAUAGUGACCGCUGUGGAGAGGGUGGAAACGAACAUGUUGGUCGAGAGUGUGGUCAGUUGAUCAAUCAGGGUGUCACGGGAAUGGACUUGUUGGAGGUGUUUCUCAGUCGACGCAUCCAGCCGCUCCAGGCUCGUGAUCACUCGAUGUGGAUGUACUCUGGAGCCAACAACACCGCUCGGGUUCAUCCGGAGGAGGUUUCGGCCAAGACAGUGGCCCUGUGGCUGAAGGGUAUUACAGGAAAUCCGGACAACCCCAGGGGAGCCAGGAGAGUCGACCCAUUUAGCGACAGCAACCAGCCAGAUAAGGUUUGGUCUCUACUACCAACUGUACUUCGAUACAUUUUGCGACUGUCUUCGAAUCCGACUGAUAUUUGCUUGACUUCUUGUCUUGUAGGUUUACACUAAGAUGUACUCGAUGCCCAAUGGUGAACAAGCUCUGGAGAAGGACCAGGAGAGAGAGGACAGUGCGGAGGAAAGCGGCGAUUGGCAAUCUCCAGAAGACGAGGACGAGGAGGAGAGUGAUGAGUCAGACGACGAUGAGAUAGUCGACUCACCACCUCACACGGAGCGUCGAUCCAAGCUACUCCAUGAUCCAGUGGGCGGGCGUGGCAAGACCGUGGCUCCAAGCACUCAAGCACAGAAGCGCACUCGGACUUCGACUCCAGAGCCGACGGAGAAGGUCGCCAAGCAGCCCAAGGUCGUCCCCACAAAGGCUCGGAAGACUUUGCCCAAGAUUAAGAUGGACGUUCAUGUUGCCUCUGGGCGAGUGUUCUUUCUUUCUGUGUUCUCUUCCACCGACUGAUACUUCUGUUCUGACCGAAUGAAUUAUAAACUUUUCCAGCCCAGCCUCAGUCGCGACUGAUAUGGACGUUGACAAGGCCCCAGGUGACGAGGAAACCGAUGACGCGGCUACCUCCAAAGCUAGUAUGCUCUAUUCGACUUGAAUUUAUUCUGCCGAUUGGAUUGUUGGCCGAUUGAACUCUUGAGGUUGCUUUUUGUUGCAGCUCCACGGGACGUUAUUGAGCUUCCGGAUGAUGAAGAAGAAGUGCCUCUGAGAGAGAGAGGAGGAGGGGUAGGGCGUCAAGCGGGAAAGUGCCCGGGUGUCAGGUCCCUCAAUCGACACCGGUGCUUGAGACAGUGGUCCAGCGAUCCGGAGAUCUGGCUCGGACCAAUGUUAGCUUCGCCAAUCCACUGUCGACUGACCGUCCAUCAGGGUCGACUGCUCAGACCCUUGCCGCUCCAGUACAACUCCAUGCAUCUGACCCUAUGACUUCUCCGACGGCAUUGCCAUCAUCGCUCUUCACUGCAUAUCAGACUCCAGAUGAUUCACCGAGUGCUGCCAGGGAGGCUCUUCUCCAAGUAAAUCUCGUGAUGGAGCAUAUGAAGGUGGUGCAUGAGGCCAGUGAGGUUGCUUAUAACGCCAGCACCGCUCUGCAAACCAACGUCAAGGUUAGUUGAUUCCCGACUGGUAUCUUGAAUAAUGAUAGUUGCCAUUGUUGCUUUACUGUCCAUACGGUGUUCUUGGAUGAGCGUUUUGGAACCUAUUAUGUGCAUCUAUCAUGGGUCUGUGUUUCACAUCCAAUCACCCACUGGGUGUUUCUGUCUUAGAGUUGUAUAGUUCUUCCACUUGAGUCGACUAGGUUGAGUCGAGUGUAAAACUGAACCACUGGGGGCACGCAGAGUGCACCCACUGGAUGUAGUCCCCGAGACCGCGGUCGACUGUUAGUUGUGGGCUGCGGUCUGAGAAUCUCCUCUCUUUUUUACUCAUGCUGGGAAGACCAUGCCGAGUGUAAAACUGAACCAGUGGGGGCAUAUCUUAUGUGCUGACUGCAGAGGUCUUGUGAUCUUGGGGCCCAACUUUCUGAACUGAAUAAGAAGCAGAUCAGCCUCAACCUUGAUCUGGAACUGGCCAAGAAGAACCUCAAGAAUGCUCAGGACGAAGCAUCUAUCAUGGGACGUAACCAGUCGUCGACUGUCCACCUUGUGACUCGCUCUUCCUCCUUUUUUUAGUCUCUGUGAACCGAGUGAUUUCACUCGAACAGAUGUGCGUAGUGAAAACCGUCAACUUCAAGCUCGUCUGAAGAAUGUUAUUUCUUUAGAGAAAAUGAAGCAGGCUCUGGAGAAGAAGGAUCAGGAUCUUGCUACAGCCCAGAAGGAGGCGCGAGAGAAAACAACACUUGCAGACAAGAAGCUGGCUUCAGUCAGCAAGUUGGAAGGGCAGAACUCCAAGUUGAAGACCGCCAUCGUUCAAGCCAAUCGGGAGGUCGAACAACUGAAGAAAGACAAGGACAACUUGACCCAUGAAGUUGGAAGCCUCAAGGCCAAGAAGGGCGAAUUAGAGUCUUAUCUGGGGCAGCUUGCUGCAAAGUUGGUCUUGAAGCUUUAAGGUAUUUUCUCUUGUUCGACUAAUUUGUUGACGUCGACUGACAUAUCUUGUUAAACUGUCGACUCACUGUUUUUCCGACUGUGCAGAACUUUGUCAAGACUUUGAAGCAGAAACCAGGCGGGUCGAGACGGGUCUCGACCCCAUAAAUUGUCCUGUCAAAGAUGAUGUUGCAAUGAAUGUGAUGCGGUUGGAGUCACGCACGGACAGCGCUGUUGAUUAUCUUGCCCGACUGAAGGCGGCGAUGACGCGGGUUGAUGUUGAACUCUGGCCUCAGGCGGAACUCUCACAGGAUCUCGAGUCUCUGAUGACUCGACUGAAUCAAAUAUCUGACCGAGUGCAAGAAUGGAAGAAAUCAUCUGUUCGCUGCGGCGCUGAUGUUGCCCUAUCAUUGGUCCGAGUGCAUUGCAAGGAUGUCAGAGAAGACAAGCUGGCGGCUCUCAAGGUUGCGGACACCAAAAAGCACAGUUUCCAGUCCUUCAUGGACACUUUCCUUGAUGCCGCCACUUGCAUCAUAGACAGCGUUGACCUUGGCAGUUUCUGCGAUCCAGCAAGUCCUUCUCUUGACGAAUGAACAAAACAUUAUGCCCCACUUUUAUUUGGCUUGGGAUGCCGAGUGAUUAUGUAAUCGUUAAACUCUUUCAGGCUUGAUGUCUGAGUACUUCUGCCUGCCGCGGUCCUGAACUUUUGCGGGAUUUAUCUGAACCUGAAUUUCCUUGAAUAUCAUGGCUUUUGUUUUGGUUUUGAACUGUUUUUGACUGUCUUUCGAAUCGGGUGAACUUGAUCUUUUCACCUUUUGUCGAGUGAAGUGUACAUUGUACUUGUGACGCAGCUCAGACGUGGUGUUCAGUCGACACCUCGUCGUCCUUGUGGAUCGAGAUGGUACAUUGUACUUGUGACGCAGCUCAGACGCGGUGUUUAAUCGACACCUCGUCAUCCUUGCGGAUCGGGAUCACACAUUGUACUUGUGGCGUAGCUCAGACGUGGUGUUCAAUCGACACCUUGUUGUCCUUGCGGACCGGGAUGGAGCAUUCGUUGUAUUUGUGGCGUAGCUCAGAGGGUAUUUGUGACUUAGGUGAGUACGGGGUCGCAGCUAAGCCCCCGAGUGGGAGGAUUGCUCUCCACUCGGAAUGUUUUUCACUUAGGCGAUUUCGGGGUCGCGACUAAGCCCCCGGGUGGGAGGAUUGCUCUCCACUCGGAAUGUUUUUAAUUUAGGCGAUUUCGGGGUCACGGCUAAGCCCCCGAGUGGGAGGAUUGCUCUCCACUCAGAAUGUUUUUAACUUAGGUGAGUANNNNNNNNNNNNNNNNNNNNNNNNNNNNNNNNNNNNNNNNNNNNNNNNNNNNNNNNNNNNNNNNNNNNNNNNNNNNNNNNNNNNNNNNNNNNNNNNNNNNNNNNNNNNNNNNNNNNNNNNNNNNNNNNNNNNNNNNNNNNNNNNNNNNNNNNNNNNNNNNNNNNNNNNNNNNNNNNNNNNNNNNNNNNNNNNNNNNNNNNNNNNNNNNNNNNNNNNNNNNNNNNNNNNNNNNNNNNNNNNNNNNNNNNNNNNNNNNNNNNNNNNNNNNNNNNNNNNNNNNNNNNNNNNNNNNNNNNNNNNNNNNNNNNNNNNNNNNNNNNNNNNNNNNNNNNNNNNNNNNNNNNNNNNNNNNNNNNNNNNNNNNNNNNNNNNNNNNNNNNNNNNNNNNNNNNNNNNNNNNNNNNNNNNNCUCUCCACUCGGAAUGUUUUUAACUUAGGCAAUUUCGGGGUCGCGGCUAAGCCCCCGAGUGGGAGGAUUGCUCUCCACUCAGAAUGUUUUUAACUUAGGCGAGUAUGGGGCCGCAGCUAAGCCCCCGAGUGGGAGGAUUGCUCUCCACUCAGAAUGUUUUUAACUUAGGCGAUUUCGGGAUCGCAGCUAAGCCUCCGAGUGGGAGGAUUGCUCUCCACUCGGAAUGUUUUUAACUUAGGCGAUUCCGGGGUAGCAGCUAAGCCUCUGAGUGGGAGGAUUGCUCUCCACUCAGAAUGUUUUUAACUUAGGCGAAUCAGGUUCGCGGCUAAGCCACCCACUGGGGAAUUUAGACACAAGUGAUUACGGGGAACCAAUCAUUAAGAUACUGCAAAAGUCUUGUCUUUGAAAAUCAAACCGAAGUACUCUUAUUACAACUCGUCGGGUCGAGUGAUUCUAGGUGUAGAAAGGAUGAACCAGCUCCGCGUUCCAUUCGCGUGGCUCGUCCAUAUCCUUGGCUACAUUGUAGAUGUGGUAUGCUCCAUUGUGAAGUACCUUGGUGAUGAUGAAGGGACUUUCCCAGGCCAGAGCAAGCUUGUGAGGUCGUUUCUGAUCCACUCGGAGCACAAGGUCUCAUUCCUGAAAUGCUCGACCUCUGACAUUGCGAUCAUGGAAUCGACGCUGAUCUUGUUGAUAGAUGGUCGACCGAACCAAAGCCAUCUCGCGCUCUUCCUCUAGGAGAUCAACUGUGUCUUCACAUGCUUGCUCUGCUUCAGCUUCUAAGAACAGUUCCACACAGGGAGCAUUGUGCAACAAGUCACUUGGAAGCACAGCCUCAGCGCCGUACACCAGGAAGAAAGGGGUUCGAUCAGUCGACCGGUUGGGCGUUGUUCUCAGCCCCCAUAGGUCCGACGGUAAUUCAGUCACCCAAGCUCCAGCAGCAUGCUUAAGGUCGCGCAUCAGUCGAGGCUUUAACCCUUGAAGGAUCAAGCCAUUCGCCCUUUCAGCCUGUCCAUUCGACUGCGGGUGUGCAACGGACGCAUAGUUGACCCGAGUGCCUUGGGAUGCACAUAACGCCUUGAACUCAUCAGAAUCAAAGUUGGAGCCGUUAUCUGUGAUGAUGCUAUGAGGAACCCCAUAUCUGAAUAUCAACUCCUUGAUGAAACUGACGGCAGUGCCUGCUCCAAGGUUUUUGAUGGGCUUGGCUUCGAUCUACUUGGUGAACUUGUCGACUGCUAUGAGCAAAUGGGUGAAACCACUCGCGCCGGUCUUGAAGGGUCCAACCAUAUCCAAUCCCCAGACUGCAAAUGGCCAUACGAGUGGAAUAGUCUUCAAGGCAGAUGCAGGCUUGUGGGACAAGUUGGAGUAGAAUUGGCAACCUGCGCACUUGUCAACUAUAUCUUUCGCCAUCUCAUUUGCUCGAGGCCAAUAGAAUGCCGCUCGGUAUGCUUUGGCCAUGAUGGUCUGAGAGGACGCAUGGUGACCACAGGUCCCCGAGUGGAUAUCGUUUAGGAUCAUUCGACCUUCUUCCGGGGUGAUGCAGCGCUGAGCCACUCCUGUGACACUUUCUCUGUAAAGCUACCCUUUCAUCACGGUGAAAGCUUUCGAUCGACGGACUAUCUGGUGAGCCUCAUCUUCAUCCUCUGGGAGUUCCUUUUUGAGAAUGUACGCGAUGUACGGUACUGUCCAAUCGGGUGUGACCACCAAGACUUCCAUGAUCAGGUUGACCAUGGCUAGAACCUCGAUCUCAGUCGGGUUGGUAGAACUUAUCGGUUACGGGGGCUCUUCCUUGAAGGGAUCUUCUUGCACUUACAGGGUAUGGAGAUGCUCGAAGAACACAUUGCUGGAGAUAGGCUUUUGAGUGGAACCUAUCUUCGCCAGAUCAUCAGCAGCUUGAUUCUUGAUUCGUGGUAUGUGGUGGAGCUCUAACCCCUCAAACUUCUUCUCUAGCUUUCUUACUGCAUUGCAAUAACCUGUCAUUGCGGGACUCCUGACAUCCCAUUCUUUCAUUACUUGGUUAACCACUAAGUCUGAGUCACCAUAAACCAUCAAGCGCCGGACGUCGAGUGAAAUGGCCAUACGCAACCCAUACAAUAGUGCCUCAUACUCAGCUUCAUUGUUCAAAGAAUCAAAGUGAAUCUGGAGUACAUAACUGAGCUUGUCUCCUCAUGGGGAUACUAAGACCACUCCUGCACCAGAGCCAUUUAACAUCUUGGAUCCAUCAAAGAACAUGGUCCAAUGUUCUGACUGAAUUUGUGUCGGCUGUUGUUGUUCUGUCCACUCUGCGAGGAAAUCUGCAAUUACUUGAGACUUAAUGGCCUUCUUUGCCUCAAACUUGAUGUCUAAAGGAAGAAGUUCAAUCGCCCACUUUGCCACUCGACCAGUUGCAUCUCUGUUAUUCAGAAUCUCUGACAAUGGAGCGUCGCUGAUGACUGAAAUUGAGUGGUCAGAGAAAUAGUGUGCAACCUUCUUCAUGGUCAGGUAAAUCCCAUAAACAAGCUUCUGAUAGUGAGGAUAUGUCUGCUUGGACAGGGUUAAGACUUCUGAAAUAUAAUACACGGGGCGCUGAACUUUGAAGGCCUUGCCUUCUUCUUCUCGCUCGAUUGUGAGCACUGUGCUAACAACUUGUCCUGUGGCUGCGAUGUAAAGCAGUAAAGGCUCCUUGCUAACCGGAGCAGCAAGCACCGGCUGGGUGGAAAGCAGAGCUUUGAGCUCUUCAAACGCUGCUUCAGCUUCGUCAUUCCACUCGAACUUGUCGAAUUUUUUCAUCAAUUGGUAAAGAGGCAGUGCCUUUUCACCGAGGCGUGAGAUGAAUCGGCUCAAUGCAGCCAAACAACCAGUAAGCUUCUGAACAUCAUGCACACGCACUGGGCGUUUCAUUCGGAGGAUUGUGCCAAUCUUCUCUGGAUUUGCGUUGAUCCCUCAUUCGGAAACGAGUAAACCAAGUAACUUUCCGCAUGGGACUCCGAAUGUGCAUUUUGAUGGAUUGAGCUUGAUAUCAUACCUUCUUAAGUUGGCAAAUAGGGCUGGAAAAAAAGCUCGAAGCUCACGAGCUAAACAAGUAGCUCGUGACUCGGCUCAAAUCGACUCGAACUCGAAGAAUAACGAGUCGAGCCGAGCUUUAGUUUAAGAUCGUUUAUAGACCAAGUUAAACGAGCCAAUCUCACGAGUACUCUGUAACUCGUUAGGCUCGAUACAAUAGAUUAGCCACUCCCAAUACAAAGAAAGAUCAGCCGCUAAACAGCUUACGUCCCAGGCGCACAACCCAAGGCCGAGCAGUUGAAGGCCUAGCCUCCUAGGAGACUCACGUGUUACAAGAAAAUUACAAUUGUUUAGUGAUAUAUAUGUUUAAUAUAUACAUAAUCAUUUUUAUCAUAUUUGAGGGCUUUAUGUUUAUAUCUUAAACGAGCUUAACAAGAUAAACGAGCUAGCUCGCGAGUUAUAUGAGUCAAGCCAAUCUUGGGUUUGAGCUCGUUAUAGUAACGAGUCGAGUUGAGCUAGCUCGUUAACGAAACGAGCUCUGGCGAGUCGAGCCGAGCUGGCUCGACUCGGCUCGAAUUCCAGCCCUAUUGGCAAAGGUUUCAGCUAGGUUAGUCAGCAGGUCGGAACCUUUGUGUGACUUAACCACUAUGUCAUCCAUGUAUGCUUCCACGUUCUGACUGAUUUGAGUGAGCAGGCACUUCUGAAUCAUGCGCAUGAACGUGGCACCAGCAUUCUUGAGGCCAAAGGGCAUAGUAACAUAGCAAAAACACCCAAACGGGGUGAUGAAAGCCGUCUUUAUCUCAUCCGGUCCAUACAGUCGGAUCUGAUGGUACCCUGAAUAAGCAUCCAGGAAGGACAGUCGCUCGCAUCCCGCGGUUGAGUCUACUAUCUGGUCGAUGCGGGGCAGAGGAAAAUGGUCUUUCUGGCAAGCCCGAUUGAUGUGCUUGAAGUCAAUACACAUUCGGAGUGAUUUGUGUUUCUUGGGAACCAUAACAACAUUGGCGAGCCACUUGGAGUGGUAUAUCUCGCGGAUGAACUCAGCCGCGAGGACUCGAGCCACCUCCUCGCCAAUGGCCUUUCUCUUCUCCGUGGCGGACCGACGGAGAUGCUCCUUAACGAGUUUUACUUUUGGGUCGACUCGCAAAUGGUGCUCAGCCAGCUCCCUGGGUACACCUGGCAUGCCAGAUGGCUUCCAUGCAAAGAUGUCCCAGUUCUCACGGAGGAACUGGAUGAGCGCUUCUUCGUAUUUGUUGUCGAGUGUUGUUGAGAUAUGGGUCGGAGCAGCAUUGGGGUCGGUCGGGUGAACAUGGACUGGCUUGGUCUCACCGGCCGACUGAAAUGCGGACUCCGAGGCAGGCCUCUUAGCACGUAGCAAAUCACUCGGAUCUGUAGUUUUCUGGUACUCUUGAAACUCUACUGCUACCAUCUGCUCAUCUGCUAUCUUUGCACCGUCCUAAAGACAGUCUUCUUCUCUUUGACGGUUACCGGAAACCGUUAUCACGCCUCUGGGGCCAGGCAUCUUCAUCUUGAGAUAUACAUAACACGAUCGAGCCAUAAAGCUAGCAUAGACAGGUCUGCCCAGAAUGGCAUGAUAGGCACUCUGGAAAUCCACAACCUCAAACGUCAACUUCUCCUUGCGGAAAUUCUUCUCAUCGCCGAAAACCACAUCAAGAGUGAUCUGGGUGAGUGAUUCAGCUUUCUUUCCUGGGAUGAUUCCAUGGAACCGCAUGUUGCUCUCGCUGAGUUUGGACAUCGGAAUGCCCAUUCCUUUGAGGGCCUCAGCAUAUAGAAUAUUCAGACCACUGCCACCAUCUAUCAGAACCUUGGUCAGUCAGGUGCCUCCCACGACUGGGUCGACCACCAGCGAUGCCGCCCAGAGGUAGCUACGCGUACCGGGUGGUCGGAUUGGUCGAAUGUAAUGGGGUUUUUUGACCACUUAAAUACUUUGGUGUUGCCAGAGCAACCAUGUUCACCUCUCUGUUAAUGACCUUCAGUCGACUUUUGCUCUUGAUAUCGGCAAAAAUCACCAAGGUGGCAUUGACAUUGGGGUAACCACCAUCAUCAUCCUUAUCUUCUUCUUCCUUCUCAGACUCUUUGUCCUUAUCACUGGGUUUACUCUCUCGGAAGUUCUAGAUUAGGAGUCGACAUUGUCGAGUGGUAUGCUUGGGGAGAAUCAGGUUCCCCUCCUCAUCCUUCUUGGUGUGAAUAUGACACGGCAAAUCUAUCACAUCGUUUCCUUCCUGGUCCUUCACUUUCUUUGGGAUCCAAGGCCCUUUGGGCUUCCCUUUGAACUUUUGUUGAUUCAACACUGCUGCCUCGACAGGACCUGCUGCCUCAGCCUUUCGCUUCUGCUUUCGACUGGAAUUUCUUCCUCCGGUGUCCUGGGCGACUGUUUUGUGCUUGCCUUUCCUGAGUCGGUCCUCCUCUUCACCGUUAGCGUACUUGGUGGCAAUCUCCAUCAUCCGAGUCAAAGACAUAUCUCCAGUCCGACCGAACUUCAGAUUGAGCUCUUUGUAGCGAACACCUUCCUUGAAGGCACAGACUGCUUGAUGAUCUGACACAUUCUCCACUGUGUGGUGCAGAGUGAUCCAUCUCUGGAUAUAGUCUCUCAAGGUUUCAUUCGGUUUCUGCAUGCAAUGCUGCAACUCCGGUAGACCAGCAGGUCUCUUGCAGGUGCCCUCAAAUGUUCUGGUGAACACUCGGGCUAACUCAUCCCAACUCAAAAUUCUCCCAGUGGCCAACUAGUUCAGCCAAGCCCUGGCAGAACCUUCAACAUCAAAGGAAGGUGCUUCACGGCCACCUCAUCGCUGCCACCACCGAUGUGCACAGCCACUCGGUAGUCUUCAAGCCAAGUAUCGGGCUUCGACUAUCCUGUGAACUUACUGACACCAGUCGCCAAUAUGAAGUUAUGAGGAAUCUCAACGGCUCUGAUGGUUCUUCCGAAACACUCUGGGCCAGAAACGUGGACUCUGCUUCCACUGGGUCUGUCUCUAUCCAGCCCUUCUCUGUACGCUUUGUUCCGGUCGACCAAACCCUGCCCAAGGACGGAUCUUGCAUCGAAGUCAGGCUCUGUGGGGUUGACUAGAACUCUGCGGUCAUUCCCAUACGGACGCCUGUCAUCAUAUCGCCGGGGCGCGUAUGACCCAUCCCUCGGAAGGGGCGAGGGUGCUCGACGGUGGUUGUCGCGGGCGUACUCACGAUCAUAUUCUCCAUGAGCUCUUCCCAGGUGCCGAUCCUGGUGGUGAUCACGACCUCCAUGCCGCAAAGGCGACCUAUGACUGUGUGCCGACUGAACGGUGUUUGCUCUUACUGAUCUGCUGUGGAUUCUGUUCCGCGACUGGGACACAGCGGAGUUCUGGUCUCCUGCUGCUCAGAGCAGCGUUCUGAUCUGUUCCAAGCCUUUUCCAGCCUCCGAACGGGACGACUGAAUGGACUCUGCAAUACGCGCAAUGGCUGCAAGAUUCUGAAUAGGUGUGCGGAAUACCUGAGUUUCCGGUGGAAACAAUUGUCGUGGACGUCGACUGGACUCGGGGAUCAGCCGACGAGCACGCUCGUCGAGAGAAUGUUGGAGAUUCUCCAGACGAGUGCGCUCAGCCAGAGUGGCCAGGCGCACUGCCUCCAAGGCCCGGGACUCGGUGGUUUGCCCUAUGAUGGGGGUCUGGAGAGCCUCCACAUUGCGGCGAUGCAGCUCCUCCCUCUGCUGCGAGCUGAGAAGUUGGUGUUGAUACUCUUCAUGGUCGAAUGAUGGGUCGUCGCUUCUGCCGCCGUCGCCGCUGCGACGAAAACCAGGCGGACCGCGAUGGGAGUAGACCAUGAGGACCUCCGCCGCGGGGUCACAACUCCCGCUCUAGAAAAAGGUAUCUGCGAAAUCAGUCGACAGGUCGACCGGUCCGCAGGGAAAUACGUCGGGCUCGAUUGCCGCGACUUGGGGGGUGAACGCCUGUCGAGCCACCGCGUGUCUCACCCACCGCUGGAGCCACGAACGCCCAGACCGCUUGCGGCGGCGUCCAGCAGAGUGAGACGACGACGCGAUGACCGACUGGUACAGGGAAGACGGCUGCCGAAGGAGGACGCCGCAGGAACUCGUGUGGAAGUGCGACGAGACACGAGCCGGGAGAGCCUCGACAUCGAGGGGGGCCUCCUGGAGCCAGGCAGAGUCGUCGACGACGAAAGUGAGCGCGCCGAGUCAGAACUCGCGGUCCAUGACCAAACCGCCGCCGGAAACCAUGCUGAUGAAGAUCGAAGAAAAUGCAACCUCGCCUGAAGUCGCUAAGACGCUUUGCCCCAUGGUGGGCGCCAACCUAAGUCUGACAGUAAUUAUAGGGGGUACGAAUGAGGAGGCAAGGUCCUAGCUACGGUGAGAUUGUACGCAAGUGUUUACUAGUUCAGGCCCCUCUCGGAGGAGGUAAAAGCCCUACGUCUCGGUGCCCUGAGGCGGUCGACUGGAAUAUGGGAGUAUGUGUUACAGGGGGUGCGAACCCUUGUGCCAGAGGAGGGUGGUGGCUUAUAUAGAGUGCGCCAGGACCCCAGCCAUCCCCCGUUACCAAGAGUUCAAUGUACAUAAAGAUGGGGCAUUACUGAUAACGCCAGCCAUAAAGUGCUUUCAAUGAUCUUAAAGACUACAGAGUGAACGCCUGACCAUUGCUAUUCUGGUCGAUUCCUGGUCUUCGAUAGGUCGAGUGAUUUCCUGUAUGGUCGAAUGAUAUUAAGAGGGAGGGGUAACCGAGUGAGGUGACUGGUCGAGUAGAUUGCACUCGACGCCUUCAAUUGGUACUCCAUGAUGUGUCUUGGAUGUCUUUGCUUCUAGGGUAGUGACCUUGGGUAGGGUGUAUAGGUCAAGCCUAUGACCCUACCCUAGGUCUAUAUCGUCAUCAGUGGCGUCGCAGGAUCUUUGGAUAUGCCAUUCAUUCUCCGGCAUGGCAGGUUCUCACAAUGAUAUCAACGUGUUGCAGCGUUCUCUAAUCUUCGCAAGGCUUUUAGAAGGCCACUCCCCACGUGUCAACUUUGAGAUCAACGGCCACCAGUACAACAAGGGAUACUACCUAGCUAAUGGUAUAUAUCCUCAGUGGUCAACUUUUGUGAAGACAAUCUCGAACCCCCAAGGUGAGAAGAGAAAGAGAUUUGCCCAAAUGAAAGAGAGUGCUAGAAAGGAUGUGGAACGUGCUUUUGGUGUGCUCCAAUCCCGAUGGGGUAUCGUUCGAAACCCUACGCUGACAUGAUAUGAAGGGAAGCUUUGGGAGGUGAUGACUGCUUGUGUGAUCAUGCGCAACAUGAUCGUCGAGGACGAGCGUGAUGACAGCAUCUUCGACCAAGGAUUUGAUUAUCAAGAUGAAAAUGUUGAGCCCCUGCACCAAGAACCGACCAUGUUUGAACAAUUUGCCCAAUUUCAUCGUGAAAUGUGUGAUUGGCACACUCAUUUGGAUCUUCAAAAUGACUUGGUUGAGCAAGUGCGGGCUCACAUUGGCAACCAAUAAAUGUAUUGGUUCAUUAAGACAAUUUCGAUAUGGUUGUAAAACUAUUUUAUUUAGAGACAAUUUCGAUUGGGUUGUAAAACUAUUUUUAUUUGGACGUGCAAACUUGUUUUGAACAUUGAAAUAUGACUAUAUGGGCAUUUUUGGCCGUCACGAACAGGAUGGGGUCAAAGGAUGCGGCCGCGCACUGGGCGCACGGUCACCGCAUCCCAGGACAGGCCCAGACACGGCCUCAUUGCCCUACCCAAACGGACAGAAUUCGUGCCAAACGGACGUCCGUUUGGGGUCGUACGCUAUAGUUGGCCUUACCCCAUCUAAGCACCUGUGUAGACUUGCAAUACUAUCUCUCCUUUACCCACAAAACAAAGAACACUUGUAUCUAAGCACUCUGCACUGUACAAAACCUCAACCUCCCUUUUCCAGAAGAGAGCUAGGCCUCCCUUCCUCCCAACACUUGCUGAAACGGUUUUAAAGGAAGACACUCAGACAUCAAGCAAAGCACGGAUUGCCGCAGCAUUACCCAUGCCAUGGCAGUUCCAAAAUAGAGAGCUAGGCCUCCCUUCCUCCCAACACUUGCUGAAACGGUUUUAAAGGAAGACACUCAGACAUCAAGCAAAGCACGGAUUGCCGCAGCAUUACCCAUGCCAUGGCAGUUCCAAAAUAACAGCUUCAUAGAUGGCAGCGGUCCCCUCCGCGAGACCCCGCCGAUCCUACAAAACUUCCAGAUGCAAUAGCAAGGAGACCUCACGAACAAAACAGGAACCCUAGAUGGCGCAACUACCACCGCUUGAUAGCCAAAGAACAACCAGCGUCUAGGGAGAGUAAAGCAGCAUAGUAGAACAGCUGCUUUCAUUAAAUUAUUAUCAUUAGAGAGAUAAACGCAACAGUUCACCUUUGCCGUUUUACUCUUAAUCUGCCUAAGACUACGAUAGUUACCAACCAGAACAGUCAGUGAUAUACCAAUUCCCAUAUGUAACAGUAAUACGGUAGGAACCAAAGGACUAGCAAACAAUUCCCGUACAUUCCAUCGACCAUUACACAUGCGGAAAUUGAAACAAGCAACUAGAAAACUGCCUGUAAACUUCAGUUAAGAUUCUGUUCACAGCUCGCAGAGAAUACAAAUACGAGAGGCAAGACAUGGCCAGGUAGAAUUCCAGGGGGUGAGGCUUCUCCCUUCCGAGGAACACCGGUGGAUAAGGGCUCUAAUGUUCUAUAUGGAUGCCAUGCUCAUUGGUUACCACCACCACCGCGGACACCGUAUCCCCCUCUGCCUCGCCGCUGCUGCUGACCACGCCGCUGCUGGUUAAACUGAUGGCCAUGGGUAGUAGCAUUUGAUUGCUGCGGUGGCAUGAUCCUCAUCCGCUGCUGCUUCAUCUGUGCAAAGAGCGCAUCCAUUGUCCUUGGAGGCUCAUUCUGCAUCUCCUUACCCUAGCAACAGAAAGAUAACAUUAUUAGCUAUGCUUAAAAAAGGUAUUAGGUGGACAACAAAUGCAAUGCAAAUAUGAAAUGUUUAGGUUGCGUUUCAUGU
rnacentral:lncRNA from 1 species